rnacentral:lncRNA from 1 species
GGGUGGGGGACGGCACGGGAGAGGUGGGAGAGUGUGCGAGGCGGGACGGGACUAGGCGACAAGGCCGAUGCGCACGACGGCACAGCGGCGGAUGGCGACGAGACGAAGGAUUUGGUCGUUUGGACUCUGCUGGCCUUCGGCUUUUGGGACCCCCGGCCCUCUUGUUGUUGGUAAUCUACCACUAGCGGGUGUGGUACUGUGGUUUCGCUGUUUAAAAUUAGCAAGGCGGGUGCUCUGGCCUGUGGGAGAGACGUCGCACAAAUAUAGGUUAGCUACGGACCGACCAACCUGCCACUGCACUCAUCAUUGACACAAGACUCAAUAAUUAGUAACUUUGGUACGGCUUGGUUAUUGCUCACCUCAUGUUUUUAAGAAAGAAAGAAAGAAAAGGGUUCCAUUAUUUUAGUUGGAUGAAUGUCCUAGACACGUAGGUCGUCUUGGACACGUCUGUUAAACUUUGCUGAAAUUUCAACCGGAACUGUGGCCUUUGGCGGCAGGUGUGGGUGUUCGCGCUCAGCUUACUCGGCCUCAUCCCUCUCGCCGAGCGUGUCAGCUUCCUCACCGAGUAAGUUGCUUCUUUCCGGUAGCACACCGUCACUAUUUUUACUUUUAUCUGGUGCAUGUGCCAGAAUCUCUCAUGCUGAUGAGAGACUCCAUGUCUUUUUGCUGUGAUUCGUGCAGGCAGAUCGCGAUAUACACUGGCCCCACUGGUAAGUCACGCCUGCAGCAAAAACUAACCGCUAUGACUUUCUUUCUUUGACUUUUCAAAGUCGAAAACAGUGGUCUCACGCAUGCUUCUGCAUGGCGCGCUGCUGCAGUGGGCGGCCUCCUGAACGCGACGUGCGGCAACGCCACGGAGCUCAUCAUCGCGCUCUUCGCACUCAUGCAGGGCAAGAUCGAGGUCGUCAAGUGCUCCCUCCUCGGCUCCGUCCUCUCCAACCUGCUGCUCGUGCUCGGCACCUCCCUCUUCUGUGGGGGCAUCGUCAACCUCAACGUCGACCAGCCAUAUGACAGGGUACGUACGACCAGGCAAUAUAAUACGUCAAUGCUUCGCAUUUUUCUUGACACGCGUUGCUCCGAUCCGUCCAUCAUCUAUCGGUCAUGAUAUUUUCAUCCAUGCUUUCUUUCUUACCCUGUGCACGUACGUGCAGAAACAAGCGGACGUGAGCACGGGCCUCCUCAUCCUCGGCGCGCUGUGCCAGUCCCUGCCGCUCAUGCUGCGCUACGCGGUGGGCGCCGGCGAGCACUCCGUGGCCGCGGACACCACGGGCCUCGAGCUCUCACGCGCCUGCAGCAUCGUCAUGCUGCUCGCAUACGCCGCCUACCUCUUCUUCCAGCUCAAGACGCACACCCAGCUCUUCGAGCCGCAGGAGAUCGACGACGACGGUGAGGUUGAUCAGGAAGAGGCUGUCAUCGGGUUUGCCAGUGGGUUCUUCUGGCUGGCGUUCAAGACCGUGCUCAUCGCCAUUCUGUCCGAGUACGUCGUCGGCACGAUUGAGGUAUAAUUAAUUUACAUCAUUCGUUCAGAUCGGGUAUAAUUAAUUAUAAUUACAUGAGAGGCACUAACGUGGGCUACAUUGGCAGCCUACCUCACAAUCUUGGGGCUUGUCAGUGAGCUUCAUCAGCAUCAUCCUGCUCCCAAUCGUCGGGAACGCGGCAGAGCACGCUGGGGCCAUCAUUUUUGCUCUCAAGAACAAGCUGGUACGUACACACCCAAACCCAGAUAGCCCAAUUAGCCCAAUCAUCCAGUGUCAUUAAUUAAUCACACUCCUGAUACAAUGCAGGACAUUACUCUUGGAGUAGCUUUGGGGUCGGCGACCCAGAUCUCCAUGUUUGUGGUGGGUAUUGCAAGUGACGUGCAUCCGCAUCUUUCGUCCAGAGAGUUUAUUUGCUUAAAUUACUACCUAAUCAUGGUGGAAUAAUUGUACCAUUAUAUUACAAACAUGACAGGUGCCACUGAGUGUCAUUGUAGCUUGGAUCGCGGGUAUUCAAAUGGAUCUGGACUUCAAGCUGCUAGAGACCGGCACUCUGUUCGUCUCAGUAAUAGUAACAGCCUUCACCCUCCAGGUACACUACUCUUCUUUUCUGAUCAUACGACAUGUAAAGGGUUCAAACAGGUUUAGAAUAAGCUAGAAUUCUAGUUUUUGAAAUUUCCUGCUCUAGUAGUAACUAGCAGGAGUAGAUUUUUUUUAAUUUUUGGUAAACGCUGUUGCUUUUAUAUUUUUUACGUUGGUAAAAAAAGACGACAAAGCUUACUUUGUGUGUUUUGUAGGAUGGAGCGUCACAUUAUCUGAAGGGGAUCCUUCUCCUUCUGUGCUACAUUGUCAUUGGCGCAUGCUUUUUCGUCACGAGGCAACCUGCAAGUAUGUUGGUUUCUUUCACAUCAACAGCUGCUGCUGCUGCUACUACAACAAAGAUAUGCACUUGAUUUUAGUUGGUUCUGAUUUUUCCUAUGUCAUCUUUGCCCAUCUUUUCAUGAAAGGUCAUGCAAACGGCAACGGAGGCGGGCUGGCUGUACCGACCGGUACUUGGAACGCACAGGUGGCAUAACAGGUGAGCAUACACCAUCUUGUUUGUUUAUCAAUCCAGCAACUGGUAGCUUAUAUAUAGUCUAAAAUGACAGGUGUUUGGCUUGACCAAACAGAUAGCAGAAGACACGAAAGCAACUCAUGUCUUUUCUAUGUCCCUGUUGCUAUAGUUCUAUCAUGGUCUUGGAAUAGCUGGUGUGCUUGAUUGGCAGCUGACGUGUUGCAUUCAUUAAGUAUACAUGGGUCCUAAUGCCUACGAGGUGGAUCAACCACAUGCUUGCUUUAAUGUGUCUCGAUUUAGUGAUCUUUUUUGGACACAGAGGUAGCACACAAAUAUGUAGCAUCGUUCUCAGUAAGCAGCUUCUGUUGCUGCCUGUGUUAAAUGUGCUCAAUCAUUUGCUUGCGAUCAAGUGGCUUAACUGGUCAGCUUGCACCGCCCUAUUUUAGAUGAUCCAAUAGCUAGUCUUUAGUUUAAAAUGGCAGAUCCCUUUGGAGCCUGACCUUGUUGGAAGGUGACAGGAAAAAAGAUGCUGUGUUAUCUCUGCACCUUGCAAUGGUUGGGAGUGUUUGACGAGUUGCUAAGUUUAACGGGACACGGUUAUAGAUUAAGCAUCGGCUGUCUUAACAUAUUCCUUAGCAAAGAAAGAAUAUGCGUGCGUUACAAGAUGCACCGACAAUGUGCGAUUGACUCUAAUGCUUAUCAAACUAUCUUUAGAACAGAAGACCUGUUUAUACUAUAUAAACCGCAUUAGUUAAUUUUCAGCCAGCAGCUUCGGGUCCUGCCUGGGUUAAACGUGCCAAUCUGAAGAUCUAAUAAAAUUAUAUCAAUUUGAUCUAUGAGCAUUCAGAAAUCCAGAUCUGAAAGACCGUACUGACAUCCGAUGACUGUUAAACAUGCAGGUUAAGAGCCCUGAAUGGACAAGUCAGCAUGCAAGAUAUCAGAGCAAUGUUCUGAAACAGAUCGACUCUGAAACUAGAAGAAGCUCAAUGAGUGAUAGAUCCUACUUUCCAGGGGAAUGGUGAAGUCGGUCUGAGUGCUGCCAGGAGCGAAUGCAUUCGUACUAUUGGUUUAGUUAGGCUGCGGCUGCUGCAAUAAGGGUAGCGAAUAUAUGUGCUCCAAUCCUAUGUAGUAUAUGAUCAAUCGUGUGUUGCUUCAUUCAUGCAGCUUAAUAAGAUAUAUACAUAUGCAGUGGUGUAUUGUAGCAUUGUGUAGUGUAUGUGCGUAUUGUACAGUAUAUGCUUACUGUUCGCCGUAUCUCUUUUGUCGUCAGUGCCGGAUCUGGCCCUGGGCCUACAACUAGGCCCAUUAAACCUCCAUGAAUUCAGGAAAGAGAUUGGUGGGACCGAAAACAAAGAACAUUCGCCUAUUCCUAUCGGCUGUCGCAUUGGUUUUGUCAUGAACCUGUUUUGCGAGAGGCGCAGCAGUACUCUAAUAAUGGGCUUCUAUACAGUCGUUUUUUAACAACAGGGAAGGUGCUCUCACAAUCACUAUACUGUUAAAAAAAUAAUUAAUUUUCUUUAUUCCUUUUGCUUUUCUUUUGAUCUGCAAGUGCCCGGAACAAUAUGCGCUGGCUCUUUCAUUAAUAUGCGUCGAACGAUGAACUGUGCCAAUUCGGAUUUACAAGAACCGGAGACAGAUGGCACCAGCACUGUGCCACACUGGUACGGUGGUACCUGUUAUUCAACACCGAAUUGCCAGCAUUGUUGGGCUUGAACCGUCGUUGUUUUAUCAACACAACUAAGUACUAAUGUAGAACUUAUCCUCGCGAGAUGCGGUAAACACAUGAGAAGAACUGAAGAAGGCAUGUUUACCACACAAGUAGAACUAUUUUUCAGUCAGCGCCUUCUGUCUUGUCUUGCCUGCGUUAAAUGUGCUCAAUCAUUUAGGAUCAGCCGGCACAACUUGGUGGAGGCUGCACCGUCCUAUUUUAGUUCAUCCGACGACCAGGAUGACAUGGAAAAAUGCUGUUGCAUCUCUGCGACUUGCAUCAGCCGUUACGCUUACAUGUCGCACUCAUAGAUUAUACGCACGCGUAUGUCUCGAUAUAUUGUUUUGCAAAAAAAAAAGUUAUAACAUACCUUGUGAGGAUGCACCAACUACAUGCAACUUAGGUUAGUCUCAGUGCUCAAUUUCAUUGCACAGUUACUAAGACGGGAUUUUGGUAUGUGCUAGUUGAGUGUCAUGGGGACGAACCUUCUCUCUUUUGAUGAAACUCCCCUCAUAAUAACCUUGGUAAGUAAGUAAUUUUACUGAUGUGAUAAUAAAUUUAAUGCUCAUGAAAUUCUUAUGCCACUCCCACCCAUUAAGACUGGCCUUACAUACCGUUUGGCUUGGCUUUCAGAUUGCGGCCGGUAACAAAUCGCGUUAAACACGUUUGAUGCAGCCAGUAAUCAGGUACAUUAUGAUACCGUGGUAUUCGUAUCUGAUUCCCUCGUCUGCGGCUGUUAUCACCUCACGUUACCACCCCACCACCGUCACCGCUUGAUAACCCGUCACUUGAGCACCCUUCGAUUUCAGUCAUCAUCUCUUACGCGCAAGCAUCUCCGCCGUCUCCUUGUUUGCCGGCGGCGCGAGGAGCACCACCCGUGACCGCAGCGCUGCUGGCGAGAGGCUCAGAAAUCAACCCCCUCCGAUUCCGCCCGCCCAUCUCCAGUGCGAGAGCAGCUCCGCCCCCUUUGUCUUCCCCUGCGUGGCUGCGCGAGGAGCUUCAUCUGUGCAGUGCGCUGUCCUGCGGCAAGAGCAGGAUCAAUCGCUUCUUCCCUCUCCGCCCAGAUGUUCUAUUAUAUGUGUUUCUUCUGCAAGGCUGGCUUCCUGUUACCUCGGCGGAGCAUCGAUGCACUGCAGUAUGCAAUUCUUCCCCCAACGAGCUGAGCAGGAGUGCAGGACUAUGCCUUUUAGCAAUCAACGCCGGUGCAGACAUCAGUAGACCUGCCACCGGGAAAGGUACAGCAAACCCACUCUCAUUCACGCUCAAAUUCAAAUAAUUAUUAUCCACUUCUUACCUUCCCUAAUCCCACCCAUAUCUAAUUAAUAAUUAAUUGUGUACUACAUAUAUAUACAUAUCUAAUUGAUUAAUCAUAUCGUCCCCGUACCCUUCCCUCCCCGUACACUCCCCAUUUGAAAUAGGUGUGGAUUUAGGAAGUGGGGAUGGAUACCAGUGGCAGACCUAGACAGAAGCGGACUAGUCGGACAGUGGAACCUGGUACCGUUACAUUCCGAAACCAAACAAAGAGUGCAAUCAGUGAUCCGUGUCUGAUUACAAUGCAACUUGAUUCCAUUUUCAUUUGCGUUACAGCUGGUUGAACCAAAUGUUAUCUUAGUUUAUACUCCCUCCGCUCCAAAUUAUAAGUUAUUUUAACUUUUUUGAGAGUCAAACUAUUUUAUGUUGGACCAAAUUUAUAGAAAAGAUUACAAAAAUUUAUGGCACCGAAUAGAUAUGCUAUGAAAAUAUAUUUAAUGAAGAAACUAAUAGUACUUAUUUGGUUAACAUUAUGUUAGUACUUUAUUGUAUAAAUUUGAUGAAACUUGAAAUGUAACUCUACAAAAAGUUGAAAUGACUUAUAAUUUGGGAGGAAGGGAGAGAGUACGUACUAUAUAAAAUAAAAAAGUAUUGUUUUUCAGUUGCUUGUGUUAAAUGUAAAAUGCAUAUAGGUGCCCAGUGGAUAGUUCUGUGCCACUAUCUUUAAUUAGGCUUCCGAAUCCAAAUUAGUUUAGUUUAACUGGAUUAGUUUUGGAUUGACCUAGUAUCCCAGAUAAAUCAAAACUUCUACUAUCCUUGAUUAAAUGUGCCAAUUAUUGGGGUUCAGGUACGAGCAACAAGUUGCCUUCUCUUUCCUCCAUUCGCCUUUUGAUUUGCAAGAAUUUUCUUGUACCUUUGAUACUGACUGGGUUGGAGGCGCCUUCACUGGACAUGUUGAAUGGGCCUUACCACCUUGGAAGGCAGGGGGUGUUUGCGUGCUAAAGUUUAGCACAUGUCACAUCAAAUAUUUGGAUACUAAUUAAGUAUUAAAUAUAGGCUAAUUGCAGAAUCUUAGACUAAUUCGCGAGAUGAAUAUAUUAAGGCUAAUUAAUCCAUCAUUAGCAAAUGGUUCCUGUAGCAUCACAUUGUUAAAUCAUGAACUAAUUAGACUUAAUAGAUUCGUCUCGCGAAUUAGGCUCCAUCUGUGCAAUUAGUUUUGUAAUUAGCCUAUGUUUAAUACUUCUAAUUAGUAUCAAACAUCUGAUGUGACAAGUGCUAAACUUUAGCACGUGGGAGCCAAACAUCGCUGCAGUUUGUUGGCUCAGCACACAGAAUCUGACAUAGGCUUUGCACGUUUGCCGGCGCCCGGCGCCGGUUUCUUCAUUGCGUUGCCAUCGGUUGCCAUGCCAUGUGCCCACGAGGCCACGACAGAGGAGUUGUCAACCAACAUCAUCUCAAAACGAGAAAAAAGCAAACCAUCAGCGCUUGACUGUUACGGGCACGGAGAGUGGUGCGCAUCUAUGAGUGUGUGUCCAUUCCAGCCGCCCCUCGACAUCAGCCGUGACGAUCUCAUCAUAUCCCCAAGCGUGGCAAAGGUAAACCUCUGCAUAUAUAUGGUCGAUGUACCUUCUCACUACUGCAAGAGGCCACGGAGAGAAACCACUAGCCAGCACCAUGUCUCCGCCUCCGGCGAUUAUCCCCACGGCGGCCGAGGGCGCGGCGCGCAUCAUCCUGGUGCACGGCACGGGCCACGGCGGCUGGUGCUGGUACCGCGUGGCCACGCUGCUCCGCGCCGCUGGCCACCGCGUGGACGCGCCGGACCUCGCGGCCUCGGGCGCCGACGCGCGCCGGCUCCGCGACGCGCCCACCUUCGAGGACUACACGCGCCCGCUGCUGGACUUGCUCCAGACGCUCCCCGACGGCGAGCGGGCCGUCCUGGUCGGCCACAGCUUCGGCGGCAUGAGCGUCGCGCUCGCCGCCGAGGCGUUCCCGGACAAGGUCGCGGCCGCCGUGUUCGUCACCGCGUUCCUGCCCGACUGCACCAACCCGCGCUCGCACGUCAUCGAGAAGGUACUUCUUGCGGCUACAUGUUGCUGGUCAUCGACAUAGCUGACGUUAGAACACCUGAGGCUGACGUGAUCCCCUGUUCCGUCCUCCUCUUCGCUGCACCAGCUUACCCUGACGGACUGGAUGGACAGCGUGACGGACGCGGAGCACGACCCGCCCUCGGUGUUCCUAGGGCCUGAGUUCCUGCGGGAGAAGCUCUACCAGCUCAGCCCGCCGGAGGACUACACGCUGUCGCAGAGCCUGGCCCGGGUGAGCUCCCACUACGUGGCCGACCUGCGGGGCCAGCCGCCGUUCAGCGAGGCGCGGUAUGGCGCGGUGCGCAAGGUGUACGUGGUGUGCGACCAGGACCAGGCCAUGCUCGAGCCCUACCAGCGGGCGAUGAUCGCCGGCUGCCCCGUGGCCGAGGUCAGGGCGAUCGCCGGCGCCGACCACAUGGCCAUGUUCUCCGCGCCGGCCGAGCUCGCGGGGCACCUCGCCGACGUCGCAAACACGUACGCCUGAUGCGGUGGGUGCCCAUCGUUUGGUCCGCCACAGCGGGCGCGUUGCAGCCUGUCAGAUAUUCUGGUCUUCUGGAUGGAGGCGUCCUGGUACCGCCACCGAGUAAAUAAACCUAUGAUGGUGAAGGACUGAAGGGCAUCUUUCUUCAAUUUGGACCCCCGUACUGUUGAACACGCAUUGAGAUAUCUGGGUACAUGUGAUGUAGUGAUAUGAAAGACUCUGUCUGGAUUUCAGUUUUUGGGGUUCACUGAUUGAAGGGAAAGUUAACUGAUUUCUAUAUGGGGACAACUGGCGAGCAAUUGAAAUUAUACAUGUCAUUGGGUAUCUAUACCCUCUCCCUAGAUCCCUAAAUCCAUACUUAGGUAGAAAAUUAUAUAUUCAUUACAAAUGAGGAGGGUAGGGUAUAAGAAUAGUACAAUUAAUCAAUUGAGUAUGUAUACAUGUGUGUAUAUAUAUAUAGACCUCCGCUAUUCGGUAUGGAUACAGAAUAUUAUUAUUCUGUACCCGAGCCCGAGUCCCGGGUGCAAGCACCCACGUCGCGCGGGUGCGGCCGGCUCCACCUCUCCGGUUUUUCUUCCUUUUCCAUCGUCGUACGCUCGACCGCUUCUCUGUGCGGUUCCGGCUUUUUUCUUUCUUUCUAGCGUGCAGGAUGUAGCUACGUAGAUGCGUUCACGGGCACGCACGGGAAGUCGAACUCCGGUGAUUGAUUCUUUCAUAUUUUAAUACGGCUAUGCAUAGGAUUGUUCCUACCACAUAUUGAAUACUUUUGUAGAUUAUACAAGUAAUUUCCAAUAAUUUGCAACAGCGGUUUCAUAUAAAAAACAUCAGUUUCGUCUCAAACUGUAAUAACAGAAAACCUUAUUAUAUAUAUGACGUAUUAGUUUACAAGUGCACUCGAUCAUAACAAGAUUAGUGUUCACUUCCAGAACACCAUCUCCAUUACUAGUGUAAAGUCUACCAAAGCAGCAGUUUUCAUCUUAUUUCGCAACCUGUGAACUGAAGAGCCUAGUCUAAAAUCUGAAGCCAACGGAUACGAAUUAGUGAACUGAACUAGAAUGACCUAAGACAACAUGUUAUCUAUCUCUUUGUAAAACUGAAAGGUGCAGUCCUUCGAUCAACCCGUCAUUGUAUGAUUCUCAACCGGUUUGAUAUAUACUCUAGCUGCAGUACAAAAAGGAAAAAUACAAAAGUUAAAGCAUUUAAAAGAGAAACCUCUAUACAACAACAUCCAAGAACCAAGAGUCACUUGAUAGAUAAAAAAAAUAUGCAAACUAGGCAAGGCAAGAAGAAAUCUGAUAGAACAGGUAAUUUCUACAUUUUUUUAUGAAACAGUUUCUACAUUACUAGGAGACUUAAUCGGAGCGUUGCAAUUGGACUAACUAAUAUGUAUACGGGUCUACGAAAGCACAAGUGCACAUCUAGACUGUAUCACUUGCAACAUCACAGAACAUCUAGUUUUGAUCAAUUACUUGAGACACAGAAAAAUAGAGUUCCAAUCCAAAUACUUGGUCCAGCUCAAUUGACACUUGCAAGGUCUACAAAAACCCCAUAAUCUUGAUCACAAUACAAGCGUGGGCACCAACCCAUGCAUGGUGCAGAUUCUCAAGAGAGUAACACAAAUAGACAAUUUUGAGCAUGGUUCGCGCGCGCGCAUAUAUAUAUGUAAGAUCAGUCCGAAGGAGGACUCUUUAAAUGAUAAAAGAAAUAAUAAAUAUUUAGUCAAUACUCCACACGAGUUUCUUAUCCCUAGGAUAAGUUUUAAGACUGAACAAGUGCUGGCAUAUUUUACACAAGAUAUUAUAGAUCUAAUAUGGAAGAAAUAUGCUGAAAGACAGUACAAAACAUUUCAGGAUAUACAAAAUUACUUCAUGAGGCUAUAUCAAGGUAUAGAAAGGAAUUUGGGAAUAAUAGUUACUAUAAAUACCUUUCCUUUGCUUCAUCUUGAUGAUAAGUUAAUUGUUAAGCCUCAUCAUAAAUUUAUAAUACUUCAAGCUGAUAUAAAUCUAAAAUAUUUUACAAAUACCCAAAGGCAUACAGGAGAAGAUAUUUCCUUACAAACUAUUAUUGAUCAUGGGUUAGUCCGAGAUAUUUAUGGAACAUUGGAGGAAAUACUUCAAUCUGAUUUAGGAAAGGCUAUUAAAGAAGCAUGCAAAAGAUUGGCGUGUGUUCAAGGUAAAUAUAAAAUAAAAUACUUUUCUAACCCACCAAAAUUUACACUACCAUUAAGACCAGCAAGUCAUGAUAUAUAUAUAUUAUAAAAGGUUCGUAUAAAUUCCCUACGAUAUGGUCUUCAGAAACAUGGUACAAUUAUGAAGAAAUACGUGCCAAAAAUAAUCAUGAUAAUUGGAGAAUUUUCAGUGAAGCAAAAGAAAUAGAAGAAAAUACUAUAUUCAAUACUGAGUACCAUAUGAUGUAUCAAAACAAAAUAACAAAAAUAUUUCUACGAGAAUAUUAUGGAAGGAAUAGUAUAAUAUCAAAAGAAGUAGAAAGGCUACUUAAGACAAAUUAUGGAAUGAAAUGCCAGUUAAGAAAAGAAUAUCGUGAAUUACUAUCAUGGUAUGAACUGUGGCAACCAGAGGAACCGGAUAUUGAAGAAGAAGAAGAAUAGAAAUACAGCUCGCAUAAAAGAAUAUUUUGUCACACAAGGGAAUAAGUCUCCAGUGUUGUUAACGUGUUAACAACAAUUCGACCGGGGCAGAAUAAUACUACAUGCCAUGAUGUUUUGAUUGAAGUCUGCGACGCCAAUCAUUCGGGCGUGGAAGACCAUACCAAGCAGCAUCCAGAAUAUCACGAGAAGACAGUACGCGAUAGAGGACAAGGCAAAAGGAAUAAACAGCAACUCUACUGUACCCAGGACAAUUAUUGAGGAGCGGGGAGCCGUCCAAGUGUCCAGGCAACAGAAGAGGAGAAUAGUUGAAGGCACCAGAAGCCUUAAGCACGAAGCAACUCCAGAAGCCUCUGCCGCGACUAUAAAAGGAGGUACCGGGUGAAGCAUUGGAAGCACGACCUCAACCAGAUCACCACCAGAGCACCAGAGCAUCACCAAGAAUCACGAAGACACACUCCACCACCGAAGACCUCCACCCACACUCCACUCAUGAAGACAUCCACCACCACUCUCUGAGAGAAAAAGAAUUAGCCACCAUAUUUUAGAAUCUACCGCUGUAUUACUCCACCUCUGUACUACCACUACUAGAAUAAAGGGAGGCCGUUGGAGCUCGUCCCUCGGUUUGUAAGGUAAUCAAGGUUUGUGCUAAGUGCUUGGGGUUUCCCGAAAGGGAAAGCCGCAUGUAAGCUUGUCCCGUGGAAAUGGAUUAAGCUGUCCUGGUAGCAUCCCUGCCUUCCUUUAAGCUCGUUCUUAUGGGGCGAUGUCUCUACGCGCGGGUGCCACUAUUCACUCACUAAUGCGCACUAUUGGGCUACUAUUCGGGGUCGCUUUCAGGGGAUACGAGCACGCGCGGGUGCGAGAUUAGGUAUAUUCCUUAAUUAAGUCUAUUCUCAGGAUCUUUGCGGGUUGGCGAGACCGAAGAUUCAGCCGGUCGUGCUGCUAUGCUUGUGACAGUCCUACUCGGUACUCACCGCAUACCUCGCUGGCUCGCUUCAGAACCAGGCCAGCCCGGUCUGCACCCUCACCGUCCCCAGCCACGCUCACACAGGACUCAGGCUCUACCGUCUCCCCAGGCAGUUCCACCCGAAGGGAACACUUUUCUGCGCACACAGGGUUCUCCUCAAACGCCGCUACCAGGGCUAACACGAGAACGACACACGCAGAGGUUUCUCCUCUAGGGUCCCUAGCGUAGAGACAUCGCCCCAUAAGAACGAGCUUAAAGGGAGGCCGUUGGAGCUCGUCCCUCGGUUUGUAAGGUAAUCAAGGUUUGUGCUAAGUGAAUGUAGCAUCUAGUUUUCUAGUCACGAAUAAUGACAUUUGUGAAUGCAAAAAUCUUAUCUUGCAAACACCCAGAGUAUCAUAUAGAGUAAUUAUAUGUAUAUUUACAGCCUUUGCCAUAAUGCAGACAAGGGGCAAGCUUGUUUGUUCUUACCUGUUUGCAAAGGUGUGAUCUGGGAGCUGCAGGCAGAUGAAUAAAGUUCAGAUAUAAACAUACUUUGUAGGAAAAGAUUCAGCAGGUUAAAAAAUAUAAAUCCAGUGCAAAAUUGAUUACAUGUUAAGCCCAACAUAACAAGACAGAAAUCAUCGUAUCCUAUUCAUUACAAUGAUGAUAGCUGCAUUGAGGAGUCUGGUUGCAGUUCCCAUUGCCAGAAAUGAACAGAAAUAAGAACAAGCGUAAAGUUCAAAAGCCUAAAGAGCUCAAAACUGCACACAACCUUGUCAAAAAAGAAUAUGAGGGGAGUGUUUGUGUCCUUAUGAGAUUAUGCUAAAAUGCAUAUACUCCUACAGAAACGAAGCAUGAAUCAUAUUAACAUUUGAAUAGACUUUGAUCUGCCUCCGGCAGCAUACCUUCUGAUUAGCAGCUCAGAAGCACGCUGACUCUAAUAAUUUGACAAUUGUUUGCUAAAACUAAACUGAACUAUCAAUCCACCAAUUCAGCAAAAUCUGCCGAAUAAUUUGCUAGCGAAGCGAGUAAUCAUGACUCUGGCAAGAGGGUGCUGGUGAUCUACAACACAUGCACCAUAGCGGAGUCUUACAGAAAAGAAUACGAUGCCAGUUGAUGAUAGAAGAACGAACAAAGCGACAAGGCAGUGAGGCACCUGAAAGAAGGGGCGCAGCACUUGCUCCCUGCUGGGUGCUUGAUUCCGCAUCGGUGCACGUCGUCGUGCUUCUGUUCAUCGCACCAGCUCGUCAGCCAUAGAUGUGGGCGUCGCAGCAGGAUCGAUCCCGUCAUCCCUAUAGAGCCACGGACGCACCACAUCAGGGAUUGGAACAGCAGCUAAUCCAAUGAAAUCUCAUCCAAUCAGUGCGGGAUAACAAGAAUCAGAUAUGGGGGGGGGGGGGGGGGGGGGGGGGCCGCGGGGCGGGAGCUGGAGGGUCAAAGCCUAAUGGCGGCAGCUCCAUCUUAUCACGCGAUGGGUCUUUCCACGGCAGAUUAACGACGAUAGCUUGCGUACGAGCUGAGUAGAACUCACCACGCUGGAGUCCCUCGCCGGCGGCGUCGGAGGGCGAGGAUUCGAGCGGCCGAGGCCAAGAGCAACGCCAAGCGCCGGUGGUGACCUAGCGCCGAUGGGCUCCUACGGGGUGUCCAGCACUGCGUAGAUGUUUGCGGAGCACGCGAGGGGGCGUCGACAAGACGAGGAACCGCGGCGCCGGAAGGGUGGGCGCGGCUGCGCCGGGACGGAACGUCGGGGUCGGCAGGCGGUGGCCGGAGGGGGAAGAGUCGGGUCAAAGCCAGGAACUGCACGGAGGAUGAGGACCCACGAUCUGAAUUACAGUAGUUCGGAACGUGUGGAUCGACCGGAGAAAAAAGCCGACAAAAAAUUGGUGGAAAAAAAGCACGGAACAUGGGAGGGGAAGCUCGGGUACAGGAAGCUUAUUCCGUACCAGGUACAGUGGUACUAUAUAUAUAUAUAUAUAUCACAAAACUAUAGAGUGAAUAAUAAUUAUUUAGAUUUGAGUGUAAAUACGAGUGGAUUUAUCCAUACCCUUCCAAUAGUAGAUAUAACUGAAAUGCAUCCGGUAGUAAAUAUAGCUCCAGCAUUAUAAAUAUCCAGAGGGGUGAGGGGUGGCACGGCAUGUACUUAGCAGGAAUGAAUAGUUGAGGCACGGUUACUAAGGUCUUGUUUGGAUUCGGAGGUUAAAUUUUAGUCGGCUAGUCUCUGACGAUCCAAACAGUAGCUAAAAUUAGCCAACCUUCCAACUAAACUUUAGUUCAUUAGCUCUCCAAACUUAGCUAAUGGGUUAAUUUUAGAUACGAAUGAUAAAAGAUUAAAAAUACUCUCCUUUAAAAUCUUACUAUGUUUUCUCCUCCACCCUCCUCCACCCUAAGGAUAGAAUGGAUUUUUAUCGAUAAAUGGGCUAAAAUUAGCUUGGCUUCAAACAAAACGGAACUAUUUUUACGUGCCAUCCAAAUAGGCCCUAAGCCGUGCCAGUGCCAGCUCAUGGGCUCCCCCUACGGCUGAAACACGCCACGACGGUGCUCUAGGCAUGCUAUGCCGGCCUAGGAGCCUGAUGAAUAGGGUGGCAAGUGGGGUGGCUGACGUUCGACGCGGCGCGGUGUGGCAGGGGCUCGGGUACGAGAUGUCCAACAUCGAUGACAGUGGUGAAGAUGAUGUGGGAGGCGCUGGAGGCGGAGAUCGAGACGUGGACCAAGGCGUUCCGGGCUUCUGGCACAACAUGAACGUCGGCCUCUCCAGGGAGCGUGAUGCGGGAUUAGGCGGCGGCGCGGCGCUGUUGGGUCGAUGCAGGUUGCCCACAAAACCCGCUCCAGCGAAGUGGGUUGAGAUGUGGAGUUUCGCGGGUUAGUGGCUUGAACCAAUCCAGGGGGUUCGCGGCGUGGCCGCGCCGCUGGCAUCCUUACCGAUGAACCCUUGGUGACACAACCCCCCAUCCGUGCAGCCAACUAGUCAAGGGAUGCUGAGUGGGUGUGGGUUAUACACGCUGGUGGGACUAGAUGACUUGAAGCUGAAAAUUAUACAUAGGCCACCCGGGCAGUGCGGAGGCAGAGAGGCAGGACCCAAGCUUCCCUUAGAGCGUCUCAAACAAUCUAAACUCUUUUUUUUAUUUGUUGCACAAUGUAAAAAGAAAGAGACAUUCAAGCCUGUCUGCCACAUGCUCUCUUUCAUUCAUACUUGCCGACUUGGAGCUUCAUAUUAUUCGAGACGUCCUUACACUCUUACACACUUUAAUGUCCACUGGAAAAUUAAAAUUUUAAUAUUUUUUAAUAAAACCUAGCACUACCGCCCCCUAACAUGGAAAAAUUAAAUUCCGGGGCUGACGGGCCUAGACGGCACGGCCUUUAAUUGUUCUGGGCCGUGCUAGCACUACGGGUCGCCAUCAUGGGCCAAGUAUGGCACGGAGCACGGUCCCAACGUCGACGAGCUGCCCAUCGUCGUGCAGGUCGGGAACUCGGAUCACCCUCUGCGACGACCGCGGCCGCCCAUCCGAGCUCGCGUGGUAGGUGACCUUCUCGGACUUCGAUGUCCGCCGCGACCGCCACGCCCAGGAGUCUGUCGCAUUCCUGCGGUCACAGGGCGUCAGACUUCGAACAGACGUCGACUUUUUCCACCGAGUCGGACUUGGUGAAGCACCACCAACUCGAACUCGGAACAAGUGCUCUCUGCCUCUCCGAUCUACCUGCCUCUCCGAUCUAUAAAGGCAGUAACGACGAGCAGAUGGCUCCUCCAUCGAUUCAUCCAGGCAUCCUUCGCGGCGUCGCACAACUCCCUCGCCGAUCUCGAUCCACAAACUAGAUAUCGCGCUUGAUCGAUCCGAUCCAUGGUGACCAUGAACGCCGGCGUCGCGCCAGGCAUGUUCCAGCUCGCGCCUCCGCCGCCGCCGCGCGUAUUUCAGCCGUCGCUUCCUCCGCCAUACCGCACCCUGGCGUCCCAUUUACUGCGCCUGCUGCACGACUUCUGUCGCCGCCGCCGUACAGCUCCCGAGUCGUCGGCCACCCCAUGGCGCCACCCGUGCCCGGCCUCCAGAUCAGACCUGUCACGGCGGCGAACUACGAGGCGCAGCUGGACGCCAUCGGCUCCUUGCUCACCAGGUACCCUUUCGUCUCCAUCGACACGGAGUACCCGGGCACCGUCCACCGCCCGCCGCCAGGGAGAAGCGAGAACCAGCUCGCCCCGUACGAGCGCUACGCGCUCGUCAAGGCCAACGUGGACGAGCUGCCCAUCGUGCAGCUCGGGAUCACGCUCUGUGAUGAGUACGGCAAUCUCCCUCUCGUCGCCGGCAGCGACGGCCGUCCGCUCGAGCUCGCGAGGGAGGUGACCUUCUCGGACUUCGACGCACGCCGCGACCGCCACGCCCCUGAGUCCGUCGCGUUCCUGCCGUCACAGGGCGUCGACUUCGACCAGGCGCGCAAGCGCGGCGUGAGCUCCGCGGCGUUCGCGGCCAAGCUCGCCGCCGUCCUGUCAGCACAGCAGCAGCGGCAGCGGGACGGCGAGCUGACGUGGGCGGCGUUCGGCGGCGCGCACGACUUCGCGUACAUGGUAAAGAUGCUCGCCGGCGGACGGCCGCUUCCGGGCACACUGGUAGAGAAUUGGCCUUUAGUCCCGGUUGGUAGGGUGCAUAUCUCUCGGAUAUCCAUCCGGGAUAAACCAACCGGGACAAAAGGGGGGUCUUUAGUCCCGGUUCUUUUAACCGGGAGUAAAGGAUCCCCUUUAGUCCCGGUUGGUGUCACCAACCGGGACUAAAGGGGGUCCCUUUAGUCCCGGUUGGAUUUCCCAACCGGGACUAAAGGGGUCCCCUUUAGUCCCGGCUCGAUUCCAACCGGAACUAAAUGGCGCUUGCAUGGCACUGCCGUGACGCCUGAAUUUUUCAUGCAUGCAUCACGUAUACGUAGUACCGCGGCCCUUUUAAUUUGUUAACCUUGUAGUUGAGAUUUUUUUAGAACGAAAUCAACUAGUAUUUAAACGAAUGGGAUUUGUAAUUAUACAAUUACUAUAUAUAUACACAAUCCUUAUACACAAUUCAUAUACACAAUUCAACUAGCUUAUUACAAAUCGAUCAUAAUUAGCGCGUAUUAUAUAUACAAAUAAAUCAAAGUAUCUUCCUACAAUCUUCCCGUCGUGGUGUUGCUGAUCGGAGUGUCUAAUUGUCGUCCAUCGUAAUAAAAUUCUCCUCUUGGAUUUACCACCUCGUCCAUUAUGAAUCCAAUGAGACCUUCACAUAUUGCCGCUACUCUUUCUUCCUUCAAGAGUCCUUGUUGAAUAUUUAACAUCUAUAAUUUGGAAAUUUGUGAAUGUUACAUGAACAAAUACAUAUAAGGAACUAGAAAAUAAUUAACUAGUAAUAUAUUUAUUUUACGUACUUUAAAGUUGUGCGGCGUCAUCUUCGGUCCCUUGGGUCCCAAAAAACUGUGCAUGUGCUCACAGAUGUAGUAGCCACAUAGAUUAUUCCCGGGUUCCUGUCUUAAGCACUUCAGUGCGGAAAAAAAUAAGUUAUGAAAUAUUCGUGUUAUACAAUGUAAUAAAUGUGCAGACUGCAUACGUACCGGGAAGUCUGUGUUCCAUGUAAGAUUUUCUUUGAAUGGACCUUUGUGUGUCCUUAUGAAUUGUUUCCAUGCGCUGCGGAUUAGAAUAAUGAAUGACAUAGUGUAACAGGGAUAAAAUUUAGGAAAUAAAUUUUUGCAUAGAGAUAAAGGUCCAGAAUUAUUACAAGCCUAGCAUGUCUUGCAAUUCUUGGUAGUCCACCGGAUCUUUCCUUAACGAAUCAAAGACAGUGACGUGGCUUCUUUCAGGCUCAAUUAUAAUAAGGAUCCAGUGGAAGCUGCGUGCGUAAAAUGUUCAUGCAUAUUAGAGCUAACUAACAUGUAGAGAUAAGGAAAAAGACAUCGAAAGUAGACGGUAUACACACACUUACUUGAAGUUGUAUGGAAGUAGUAUGAAACCCUUGAAUGUUUGUUUGUGUAGGAAAUUGUAUAUUUCCGCAAAGGUUUUUUCCGGCGCUAAUUGUAUCUGUUGUUGGUUAACUACAGAUGGAUCCAUGAAGCCUACAUGUAGGUACGCCUCUCGGCGGCAUGUCUGAAUUAGCAUCCUACAUGAAAUGGAAGAUGAAGUUAGUACGGUGACGCACGCCAAAAUUUACAUGUAGAGAUAAUAAACGGACACUUACAGAAUCCAAGCGCUGAUCAGAGAGACGUCCAGGGCAUCAUGAUGGUACACUUCGUAUAUAUCCUUGAAGUCUAGCCACAGCACUUUCUCCCCUUCACCGUGAAAAUCUAUCGGUUUUACCUUCAUGCCGAUCAUCUCCCUCGAGUCGGCGGAUGCCAUCAUGUACCAUUGAUGGAAUUCGUACAUCUUUGUUGAUAGCUUCCGUACCAAUGAAGGCUUUACUAGAGGUUUGCCUAGCUCAUAAGGCCACUUCAGGUCAGGGGGCGGUGCAGUUGGCGUCUCAACUUGCCCUAUGCAUUCAUCAAGUCACAGACCUGUUUCUUCCAUGAACUUCAAUACAUUUGCUUGUUGAUCCAAGGGCAUUGCUUUUACCCGUUGAGCAUCUUUUUUUGAUAAAUGGCUGAGGUCGGGGACUGGACCGCUGGAGGAUGAUUUUCCUUUCCUUUUAUCCUUUUCAUCAGCCUUUACUAGAGCCCGUUCAUAGUUUGACAAGAGUGGUAUCCUUUUCUUGGCUCCUUCUUCCAUCCUGAUAAAAAAGUUUAAAUCUCGCCGACUUACUGGCGGUGGCUCCAUCUCCCUUGCCUUUUUUAAUUCGGCUUGUUUCUUGAACCACUCACUGGCCUCUCAUUGGAUUUCUGCCCACUGUUCUUCAUGAGACAUUGCCUCCCAGCGUUCCUUACGAGCCACUUCAGGCUCCUUUGUUUUCUUCUUUCUCUGUCUUUGCUUGGGAGGCGGUGCUCGUGACUUCUUUAGUGGUGCUGCAGGUUCCUUCAAGGGGGCCGCUCUUGGUGCCGGCGACGGUGAUCGGGGAGGGGUGUUGUUAUUGUCGUCGUCGCUCCCAGCACCAGGAUGUGGUGGAGAUGGAGACCUUGAUAUAGAUGGAAGGAACGGUCCUGGAGCAGGAGAUGCCGGUCUCGAGGUAUGAGGAGAAGGUCGCUGCUGGGGAUCUACGGGGAGCGGUCUUGAGGUCUGAGGAGAUGGCUCCGUGCCGGGAAUAAUGAUGUAGCGUUUCUUCCAUAGAAUGAUCCCAUGAAGCGCAUCUGCCAAUGUCUUUUCCCCGUCGCCUCCCGGGAAGUCGAGCUCUAGACCUUCAUACUGGGGAUCAACUAUUUGCUCGACGCAGACGCUGGCGUAGCCUGUUGGAAUGUCCAUGCCAUGACUGCUCUGCCCUGCCAGGGUUGCUAAUGCACUCCCGUACGCUACCGGUACAUAUAGCAGAAGUAAACAAGUUGAACUCCGAUCUCGAGGCCUGGAUCAAUUGACAAGAUUGCAUAAAUAUUAUGUAUAAGUAUACCUUAAUAGUGAGGUUGCCGACCGGUGCAUGCAGCUCACAUGAGGUCCGUUGCGUGAUGGCAUCCACGGGGAACCAUUGCUCCUCCACGGGUAACCUGGGCGUCUGCGCAUCGGGAACCCCUGUAGAAGCACAACUGCUCCCGAGGCGUUGAGAAGGGCUGGCGGUGUUAGGAUUCGGCAUUGCUCCAGAUUGGGCCAACUCCGCAACUGCGUCGGCCACCCGCCAAUUGAUUUCAUCAAUCAUUCUUUGUUCUAGCAUCUACCGCCAGCUCUCCUCGAUCUGUUCCUUUCUUCGCUUCCGGCUUCUGUAAGAGGCGCUGUCGCCUCGGAAAGCGAACUUCCACGGAACCACCCCGAACCCCCGGCAACGUCCUGGGUGCUCUGGAUUACCGAGGGCCAAUGUGAGCUCAUCAUUUUCUCGGUCCACCCUCAACCUCCCAGCCUUGGAAUCUUCAAUGUUCUUCAUGAGAUGUUCGGCCUUCUCACGUAUUGUGUCAUUGAAAAUCAACGUCCCAUCCUCUUGGCUUAGGGAGCCUCCAUGAGCGUAGUACCAGUUCUUUGAUCGUUCGGGCCAUUCAAUAGUUGCAGGUACGAUUCCCCGUUCGAUCAGAUCUUGUUCCAUCUUCCUCCACUUGGGAAUUGCUGAGCCAUACCCACCUCGCCCCAAAUGAUGGUGGUAGCCCUUCUGACUAGCAUUUGCUGUGUUGGUCGUGAUCUUUUUCACACCUUCUUCACUCCUCUUGUAUUCAACAAAUGCAUCCCAGUGGUCCCUCAACUUUGGCCACGCGUUGAAGUCUGGAGUUUUGCCCUUCUUGAUGUAGUGGGUAUCCAGCAUCUUCUUGAAUGUCUGGAAUUGAGUAGCCAUCUUCUUAAGCGUCCACGCUUUGACAUCCUUCUCACUAUAUCCUUCGGGGAAUGUGAAAUGUCUCUUCACGUCUUCCCACAGCAUAUUCUUUUCUGUCUCUGGAAGGGCGUACGGAUUAUCGCUUCUGCCCUUCCAUUCUCUGAUGCUGAUAGGCACGUUGUCCCGGACGAUUGCCCCGAUUUGACUCACGUACUUCUUUGCUACUUUCUCGGGAGCAACCGGCCUGCCCUCUUCUGUAACUUCGGUGAUGACAAGCCUCCCUUCCAUCACCUUUGUACGACCUCGGGUCUUCUGCCCUUGUGUCGAUCCGGAGGGCUAACAGUUCAAGAUUUGUUAAUUAGUACGUAGUAGUAGCGGUGGCGUGAAACAAUACAAGAAUGGUUGUAUAUACCUCGCCGGAACCUUCCGCCACGGCAAGUUGUUGCUGCGGCUGUUGCUCUUCAUUCCCAUCGGCGAACAUGUUGAGGAACAUGUCCGCCUGGGUGCCCUCUUCAUCCGUGUAUGAUAGUCGAACGUUGUCGCCACUACCAUCACCAGCGAUUAUCUGCUCCAUGAUAUACCUUGCGGUCUCAUUGUCUGCCAUUUCAACUAUUGAUGGAAACAUACAUGGAAUCAUACAUGACAGUCAUAGAAAUCGUCUUACUACAAAUUUGUACAAAGUCCUACAAAGUCCGGAAUCAUACAUGUAUAUAAUGAAAUCAUAAAAUAACAUGAAUCGUACAAAGUCCGGAAUAUUUAUACAAAUUUCUAUGAAUUUUGACGAAUUUCUACAAAUUUCUAUGAAUUUCUACGAAUUUCUACGAAUUUCUACGAAAUUCUACAAAUUUCUACGAAUUUCGACGAAUUUUGACGAAUUUCUACGAAUUUCUACGAAUUUUGACGAAUUUCUACGAAUUUUGACGAAUUUCUACAAAUUUCUACGAAUUUCUACGAAUUUGUAACAAUAUCCACGUGCGGUGCCUAGGUUGUGACGGUGGCGAUCAGGGCGGCGGAGGCGGGACGGCGGCGGUCAGGGCGGCGGUACGGCGGAGGUGGGGACGGUUCACCGGAACCACGGGCGGUGCCUACUAGGUUGUGAUGGGCGGCGGGACGGCGGCGAUCACGGCGGCGACUCGGCGGAGGGGACGGCGGUGCAUCCUACGAAUUUCUAACUUCAUUUUCUCUGUAUCAACUCUAACUUAACAAACUAACUAGAAAUCUAACUUAACAAACUAACUAGAAAUCUAAAAAUCUAACUUAACAAAAUUAGAAAUCUAAAAAUCUAACUUAACAAAAUUAGAAAUCUAUCUAAAAAUAAAACUUAAUUUUCUAACUUAAAAAGAAAACCCUUCCGGCGCUGCCGGCCGGCGCGGCAGCGGACCUCUCGCGCGCGGGGCAGCGGUCGGGUCGGCGGGACGGCGGCGGCCGGGGCAGCGGGACGGCGGGACGGCGGCGGCCGGGCGGCGCGCGGGACGGCGGCGGUCGGGGCGGCGAGGACGGCAGCUGCCGAGGCGACGAGGACGACGGCGGCCGAGGCGACGACGAUGACGGCGGCGUAGGCGGGACGGUGACGAGACGGCGACGAGGGGCGAUGAGGGGCGACGAGGAUGGAGCCGGCGACGAGGAUGUGGAGCCGGUGGCCGGAGGCGACGAGGUGGCCGGGGGCCGGGCGCGUCGACGGACGAGGAGGGGAUCGAGGCGGGCCGGCCGGGGGACGAAGACGGCGCAAUGGGGGAUGUCGACGGCGCAAUGGGGGACGACGACGGCGGCGGCCGGCGAGGGAGGCGGACGGGCGGCGACGGCGGAGAACGCGCGGGACUUGGCGAAAUUUUGGCUAAGUGUGUAACUGGCGGGGGGUAGAAGGGAGUACAGUGCCUUUUAACCCCCCCUUUUAUCCCGGUUCGUAAUGGGACCCGGGACAAAAGAGCCUUUUAUCCCGGGUCCCGUCACCAACCGGGAUAAAAGGGGGGGCCUUUUAUCCCGGUUGGGGACGGGACCCGGGAUAAAAGGGUGCCCCGCCAGGUGGGGCUGGGAGCGUACCCUUUUAUCCCGGGUCCCGUCAGGGUACGUUCGGGCGGGAGACGAAACGUACCCUUUUAUCCCGGUUGCCGUUUGCAACCGGGAUAAAAGGGGGGCCUUUUGUCCCGGUUGCUGUUAGCACCCGAGACAAAAGGUCUUUUUUUCCUAUUUUUCUUCUCCCGCCUGUUUUUUGGAAAUGGAUUUUAUUUUACCUUUUCACUGCAUUUCAGGAUGAAAAACAAAACCUUCACAGAUUUUGUACAUGCAAAAAUAUAUUUAAUUAACGAGUAAAUUGACAAUAAGUAUGAAUUAAUCAUUAAUUCUAUACCAACUCAUUUAGCCUGUAAAAUAUUUAUUUUACUGCAUUGCUGUGAUCAAGAAAUUAUUCAAUUAAAUUAUUUCAAUGCGCAGAAAAAUCCAUGUUAGUAUGUGGUUAACAAUGUUCAUGUAUAUCUAAAAAAUCUUCACCUAACAAAUUUAAUAACACAUGAAAUCAUACAUAGGGUAAAUUACAAAUUGUAUCAAUUAAUACACAAAGGUCAUGUACAUUUAAUGCAUUACAAUACAACGUUGUAAAAUUUCUUCUUCACGAAAGUUCCUUGAUCAUGAUCGCGGCGUAAGUACGGAGCCUCUUCUUUGGAUAGCAGGAUGCUUGGAUCAACUUCAACGGCGAAUGGAGGCAUGCCAUCAAACUGAUCAUAAUCAUCUGAUUGGUCUGUUUUAUCCUCGACUCCCACGAUUUUUCUUUUACCUGGAAGAACUAUGUGGCACUUUGGCUCCCAUGUCUCUUCUGGAUUCCUCUUGGGUUUGCUGCACUUGUCCUUCACAUAGAACACCUGAUGCACAUCAUUGGCAAGUACGAAUGGGUCAUCACUGUAUCCAGUCUUGCUCAGAUCUACUAUUGUCAUUCCGUACUGAUCUUUGGUGACGGCAGUUAGCUUCACCCAAUUGCAAAGAAAUAGAGGGAUGUACAGCGGUCCGUAUUCGAGUUCCCAUAUCUCCUGUAUGAAACCAUAAUACGACUCCUUGCUAUUAUUUCUGUCCAUGGCAUCUAUGCGGACACCACUAUUCUGGUUCGUGCUUUUCUGGUCCUGGGCUCUCGUGUAAAAUGUGUAACCAUUUAUCUCAUAGCCUUGGAAUUUGACGAUUGUGGUAGCAGGUCCCCUGGCUAACUAGGCAAGCUGUGGGUGAAUCUCAGAGUUACCCAUAAGUUGUUGGCGCACCCAGGAGGGAAAAGUUUUCAUGUGAUGACGGGUAAGCCAAGCAUCGGAUUUGGUUGGGUUUUUGGAAGCUACCAUCUGCCUGUGCUGCUCGAUAUACGGAGACACAAAGGAUGACUGUUGUAGAACAGUGUAGUGUGCCUUGUCGAACAAAUCAGUAUCAUUGCUCAAACUUGAUUUCCUUCCAAGGGUGCCCAUUCCUCGAAGCCUCCCCUCGUGGCGUGAAGUUGGAACCCCAAUCGAGUCAAUUGAAUCAAUAAAAUCAACACAAAACUCGAUCACCUCCUCUAUUCCAUAUCCCUUGGCGAUGCUUCCUUCUGGACGGGCACGAUUAAGAACAUAGUUUUUUAGGACUGCCAUGAACCUCUCGAAAGGCCACAUAUUGUGCAGGUAUACAGAUCCGAGAAUACCAAUCUCUUUUACUAGGUGAACCAGUAAGUGCAUCAUAAUAUUGAAGAAGGAUGGUGGAAAUAACAACUCAAAACUGACAAGACAUUGCACCACAUCGUUCUGUAGCUUUGAUAGCUUGGAUGGAUCGAUUGCCUUCUGCGAAAUCGCAUUGAGAAACGCGCAUAGCUUUACGAGCGGCAACCGGACAUUUUCUGGUAGAACCCCCCUCAGUGCAACCGGAAGCAACUGGGUCAUCAACAUGUGGCAGUCAUGAGCCUUGAGAUUUGUAAACUUCUUUUGUUUCAUAUUUAUUAUUCCCUUUAUAUUCGAGGAGUACCCAGACGGGACCUUCAUACUAUUCAAGCAUUCAAACAUGCUAUCCUUCUCUUCCUUGCUGAGAGUGUAACUGGCAGGACGUAAGUAGUGCUGUCCAUUAUCUCUCUUUUUCGGAUGUAGGUCAUCUCGUUGCCCCAUGGCUUUCAAGUCCUGUCGUGCUUCCAAUGUAUCUUUUGAGGUUCCAUAAACACCCAUGAAGCCUAGCACGUUCACGCAAAGAUUCUUCGUCAGGUGCAUCACGUCUAUUGCGUUGCGAACCUCUAGGAUUUCCGAAUAAGGUAGCUCCCAAAAUAUUGACUUUUUCUUCCACAUGGGUGCAUGUCCGUUAUCGUCGUUCGGAACAGGUUGGCUACCAAGUCCCUUUCCGAAGACUACAUAUACAUCCUUCAUCAUCUCGAACACACGCUUUCCAUUACGGUGUGUAGGUUUUUUACGAUGGUCUGGCACCCCUUUGAAAUGCAUCCCGCUCUUUCUCAGCUGGUGGUGAGCAGGGAGAAAUCGACGAUGACCCAUAUAGACGACCUUCUUACAGUGCUUCAAGUACAUGCCGUCUGUGUCGUCUAAACAGUGGGUGCAUGCCCGAUAUCCCUUAUUUGUCUGUCCUGAAAGGUUACUCAAUGGAGGCCAAUCGUUGAUGGUUACGAACAACAGUGCUCGUAGAUUAAAGAUCUGUUGUCUAUCCUCAUCCCACACACGUACACCUUCUUCCUUCCAGAGCUGUAAAAGGUCAUCAACCAACGGCCUUAGGUACACGUCAAUGUCGUUGCCGGGUUGUUUUGGGCCUUGGAUAAGCGCCGGCAUCAUAAUGAACUUCCGCUUCAUGCACAGCCAAGGAGGAAGGUUGAACAUACAAAGGGUCACAGGCUAAGUACUAUGACCACUACUCAACUCACCGAAUGGAUUGAAUCCAUUAGUGCUUAAACCAAACCUUAUGUUCCUUGCUUCACUUUCAAAGUCUGGGAAUGUUCUAUCAAUUGAUCUCCACUGUGCCCCAUCUGCGGGGUGUCUCAGCAUCUCAUCUUCCUUACGGUCUUCUUUGUGCCAUCGCAUCAACUUAGCAUUCGCCUUGUUCCUGAACAAGCGCUUCAAGCGUGGUAUUAUAGGGAAAUACCACAUCACCUUCGCGGGAACUCUCUUCUUGGGAGACUGCCCCUCGACAUCACCAAGAUCAUCUCGUCUGAUCUUAUACCGCAGGGCUUCGCAGACGGGACAAGCAUCCAAUUUCUCGUAUUCAUCACCACGAUAGAGGAUACAGUCAUUAGGGCAUGCGUGUAUCUUCUGAACAUCCAAUCCGAGAGGGCAAAUAAUCUGUUUAGCUUCAUAUGUUGUGGACGGUAAUUCAUUAUUCUCGGGGAGAAUCUUCUUGACAAUGUUCAACAUCCCCUGAAAUGCCUUAUCGGACACACCAUUUUUUGCCUUCCAUUGCACAAAUUCUAGUGUCGUACCUAGUUUUUUAUGGCCCUGCUGGCAACCUGGGUACAACAAUUUUUGGUGAUCAUCUAUCAUGCGCUGCAACUUUGCUGCUUCCUUCUCAGUUUCACAAUCUCUGUAUGCAUCUCGUAUCACCUGACCAAGGUCAUCAGUAGGGUCAUUUUCUGCAAACUCAUCUUCAUCAGCCUCGCCCAUUGUAGUACCUGCAAAAGCUUGGCCUGCAACCCAGUCCGGAAUGGUGUCAUCUUCCUCCUCCUCCUCUCCAUCUUCCAUUACAACCCCUAGUUCACCGUGCUUGGUCCAAACCAAAUAGUUAGGCAUGAAACCGUAUUUAAACAAGUGGCUGUGAAUAGUCCCCCAGGAAUCCUUUGAAUAUUCCUUCCUGUUAUUGCAUUGGAAGCAUGGACAACAUACGAACCCAUUCUCUGGCUUGUUCGCUUUUGCCACUUCGAGAAAAUAAUGCAAGCCAUCAAUAAACGCCUUGCUCCGCCUGUCUGCAUCAUACAUCCAUUGCCGGUCCAUCUGCAUCGUAUUACGCAUGAAAAUGGAUUACACUUGACAAUGGAUUACGCGUGAAAAUCGAUUAAAGAUCCAAACAACAUGGUACAAUACAACAACAUGAAGAUCCAAAUACACAUAUUUAAAUUAAAGUCCCAAACAACAUGAUACAAUACAACAAGCCAUCCACUGGUUAUUAUCAAGGAGGACUUUAAGCAUCCUUGGACGGUGAAGACGAAGGUUCCGCUGACCCAACCUCAUCCUUAGGUUUAUUUGUGCCGCCUGAAACGGUAGUACUAAGUGGACGUGAAACACCCGGGACUGAGGGUGGAGCAUAACGACCACCAAAAGGAGGUUCCUGACCCGCGGCAACAGCUUCUUCAUGACGUUGCUGCAAAUAACGAAGCAUUGGUUUUUCCAGCGCGCUCUUUUUCUUUGGCUUAUGCUGAGGGCCAACUAUGAUUGGAACCUUGCCAUAAUAGGAACCACGAUCGCCCCCACCAUCGCCACUUCCUCCAGUAGCAGAAGCCAUCUAUGUACAAAAAUUAUUAUCUUAACACUGCAUAAGUUGUUCAACUUCAAGACCGUGAUCAUCUCGCGAGGAUGUCCUCAACUGGGCGGCACCGGUAUUCGUCACGAAAGAGGUUAGAUGCUACGGAAAAGGGGACACGGUCACGAUGUCCGUAUCCACUCUUUCUCGUAGAAUCGAACCUCCUUCUUGACAUACGUUGCUACUCGGCGGAGAACAUCUUAGCAGAAAUGAACACGGUAUGCAAGUUCAACAAGUAGCAGAAGUCAUCUAUGUACAAAAAUUCUUUCAUUACCACUACAGAAGUUAUUGAACUUGAAGACCGUGUUCAUUUCACGAGGAUGUCCUCAGCUGGGCGGCACCGCACUUCGUCAUGAAAGAGGUUAGAUGCUACGGAAAAGGGGACACGGUCACGAUGUCCGUAUCCACUCUUUCUCGUAGAAUCAAACCUCCUUCUUGACAUACGUUGCUGCUUGGCGGAGAACAUUCUCGCCGAAAUGAACAUGGUAUGCAAGUUCAACAAGUAUAUGGAUUUAAAAAACCAUAUUGAAUUUGAUAAGAUAAACCGUCUAGACAAGGUAGCAUCACUUUUAAACCACUGAAAUAAUGCAUACUAUAUAUGACACAUCAAUCUCCCUCACAUUCUAGCUCAAAAUACCUCUCCAUUUUUCUACUUCAUCAUCACAUUGUAGCAAAUAAUCUUUCCAUCUCUAAAGCAUAAAUCAAAGCAUAACACGAGGAUGAAGUAGCAAACCUUCGCAACACUUGUGUUGGCUGAGUCAAAUUCCCACGAAAAUGAGGGAAAAAACUUCGGGCAGCACCUCCCUUGCUUUGGCACCACCGGAGAGUAGGUGAAGCUCAGCUCUCUAUCAAUGUGCUGGACUGGCUCGGGCUGGAGGAAGAAGAAAGUCUCUGUCUCGGGAUAUAGUGGGGGAUGAGUUUUUAUCCCGGUUAAAAACUCCAACCGAGACAAAAGGAAACACCUUUUGUCCCGGUUGGAAGUUUAGUCCCGGUUGGAUCCUCCAACCGGGAUAAAAGGUGAACCCUUUUAUCCCGGUUGGAGGCACCAACCGGGACUAACCUUUUUAUCCCGGUUGGUGCCUCCAACCGGGAUAAAAGUGUUGGGAUACGAGGUAGGCUACGCUAGCGCAAAUCAAAAUUUCUACCGCGUAUAACCAGGAACAACUGCCGUAUAAGGAUCACGGGAUUACCACUCGACGCACUACUGGUGCGGAAGAUGUAGAUAUGCGUCGGUGCAGUGAAGACGAUCACGUAGUCGUACGUAGUCGAUCAACGUAGUCGUACGUAGUCGAUCACGUCCAGCAGCUCCUCAGCAACUCGUCCACGUGCACAGCAAGAUCGCCUCCGGUACCGCGGCUCGUCGUCGGCUCGUCGUGGCUCGUCGGCGGCUCGUCGAUGGCUCGUCCAAGUGCUGCAGGCGCAACACCUCCAAGGUAUCCACACGUGCAGGGAGGAAGCGUCGCAAGCCGGAUUGCUAGAUCCGCGAGUUGCAACAGGCGAGGGCGUGGGAGGCGCGGCAAGUGUGUUCAGCCAAAAGGUGUAAACCCUAGGGCGCCCCCACCCCUCUAUUUAUAGAGGUUCCUGAUGGGCCUCUGGAUCCGAGGCCCAUUAGUACUCCUAAACCUAAUCCAACUCGGAUCAGAUCCGAAUUGGGCUUCCAGCCCCUUAAGUGUGUGACCCUAUGGGUUCGGAUACGUAUAGACAUGGCCCGAGUACUCCUACUCGGCCCAAUAGUCGGUAGCGGCCUCUAGCAAGACGUGCCAACUCCUAUACGCAUACGAAGAUCAUAUCAGACGAACCAUCACAACAUGAUAUACAUGCUAUUCCCUUUGCCUCACGAUAUUUGGUCUAGCUUCAAGCCGACCGCUCUUUCUCGAUCCUGUGAUCCGGAAUCCCUUUGUAGGUUAACUCUUAACCGUACGUAGCAUGGCCAUGCAUUUUCGGAUCCGAUCACUCGAGGGGCCCAGAGAUAUCACUCUCAAUCAGAGAGGGGCAAAUCCCAUCUUGAUUGACCAUGUCUCAUAGCAUGCUUCUUGACAAACCCGAAAGCUACCUUUAUAACUACCCUGUUACGGCGUAGCGUUUGAUAGCCCCUAAGUAGGUCAAUCCACAUCUAGAAUACAUGCGACAAUCUCAGGUCUAAGGACAAAGCGUAUAUGUUGUUUAAAGAGAGAACUACUUCUCGUGUUGGGUCAGUCCUAACACAUGUCUCCACAUGUGUCCACAUUAUUAGUUCAACAUCUCCAUGUUCAUGACUUGUGAAACAUAGUCAUCAACUAAUACAUGUGCUAGUCUAAUAUUCAUGUGUGUCCUCACAUGAACUCCGACUAGGUACAACUUUAGAAUAACCAUACAAGUAAAGAGUUUCACAUACAAUUCACAUAAUUGCAAAUCAAUUCAAGUAGCCUUUAAUGGAUAUUCAAUGAACACAAUAUACAAAUCAUGGAUACAAAUGGAAUAUCAUCAUCUCUAUGAUUGCCUCUAGGGCAUACCUCCAACAAAAAGGGUCCUUUCUUUGCUGAGAUGUAUGCCAUGUGACAUAGGCAAGAACCCUUUCUUUGCCUCUUCCAUGUUGAACCUCUUCAACACUUUGUCAAUAUAAGUAUCUUGGCUCAAACCUAUAAGCCUUCUCGAUCUAUCUCUAUAGAUCUUAAUGCCCAGAAUAUAUGCCGCUUCCCCUAAGUCCUUCAUCGAAAAACUAUUUUUCAGUGAAGUCUUUACGGACUCAAGCAUAGGAAUGUUAUUUCCAAUCAGUAAUAUGUCAUCCACAUAUAAGAUCAGAAAUACUACAGAGCUCCCACUAACCUUCUUGUAAACACAAGACUCUUCUUCGUUCUUGGUGAAGUCAAACCCUUUGACCACUUCAUCAAAACGAAUGUUCCAACUCCUAGAUGCUUGCUUCAAUCCAUAAAUGGAUCUCUGAAGCUUGCAUACCUUUCCAGCAUUUUUCGGAUCGACAAAACCCUCGGGCUGUAUCAUAUACACGUCCUCAGCUAGGUUUCCAUUCAGGAAAGCUGUCUUGACAUCCAUCUGCCAUAUCUCAUAAUCGAAAUAUGCAGCUAUAGCUAGAAUAAUCCGAAUGGACUUAAGCAUCACUACGGGCGAGAAGGUCUCGUCGUAGUCAACUCCUUGAACUUGUCGAAAACCUUUUGCGACAAGUCGUGCUUUAUAGAUGUGAACAUUUCCAUCCAUGUCCUUUUUCUUCUUAUAGAUCCACUUGCACUCUAUGGCUUUAACACCAUCAGGCGGGUCAACCAAGUUCCAAACUUGAUUGUCUCCCAUGGACUCUAUUUCGGAUUGCAUGGCACUCUGCCAUUUUUCGGAGUCUGGGUCCAUCAUUGCUUCUGCAUAUGUCGCAGGCUCAUCAUUGUCCAACAAUAAUAUUUCCCGCAUUUCGCGGAGCCUUGCCGACCUUCGUGGUUGUGGCGGUGCUUCUCUUGCCAUUGGUAUCUCAACUUGUUCUGCUACGUUAGCAUCACUCAUUGAUUCUUGCCCGAUUGGCUCAUCUUGAACUUCUUCAAGAUGCACUGUCUUUCCACUCUUUUCUCCUUUGAGAAACUCUUUCUCUAGGAAAACCCCGUUCCGAGCGACAAACACUUUGCCUUCUGAUCGGUUGUAGAAAUAAUAUCCCAAAGUUUCCUUUGGAUAUCCCACGAAAAUGCACUUAUCCGACUUGGGUGUGAUCUUGUCCGACUGAAGUCGCUUGACAAACACUUCACAUCCCCAAAUCUUUAGAAAAGACAGACUAGGAACCUUUCCAGUCCAUAUCUCAUAUGGUGUCUUAACUACGGAUUUAGAUGGUACCCUAUUUAGUGUGAAAGCUGCUGUUUCUAGAGCGUAUCCCCAAAAUGACAACGGUAGGUCCGACUGGCUCAUCAUUGAUCGAACCAUGUCUAACAAAGUUCGAUUACGUCGCUCGGACACACCGUUUCUCUGAGGUGUUCCAGGCGGCGUAAGUUGUGGAACAAUUCCGCAACUCUUUAGAUGAUUGCUAAACUCGUGGCUCAAAUACUCGCCUCCACGAUCAGAUCGCAAGGCCUUAAUUUUCUUGCCACGCUGAUUUUCAACUUCAUUCUGAAAUUCCUUGAACUUUUCAAAGGUUUCAGACUUGUGCCUCAUUAAGUAGACAUAGCCAUAUCUACUAAAAUCAUCAGUGAAAGUUAUGAAGUAUUGGAAUCCUCCUCUAGCCGUCGUGCUCAUUGGUCCGCAUACAUCACUAUGUACGAGUUCCAACAAGUCUACUGCUCUCUCAGGAAAUCUUGUGAAAGGCGUCUUGGUCAUCUUGCCUAGCAAGCAAGCCUCACAUGUCUCGUAUGAUUCAAAAUCAAACGAAGUUAGAAAUCCAUCAGAAUGGAGCUUCUUCAUGCGCUUUUCACUUAUAUGACCCAAACGACAAUGCCACAAGUAGGUAGGACUCAAAUCAUUAGGCCGAGGCAUUUUAGCACUUACAUUACAGACAGGUGAACCAUCAAGAUUUAAAACAAAUAAUCCAUUCACAAUGGGUGCAAAAGCCAUAAACAUAUUAUUCUUAGAGAUCACACAACCAUUGUUUUCACUCGCAAAUGAAUAACCAUCCUUCAUCAAACAUGAAGGAGAUAAAAUGUUUCGACUUAAACUAGGAACAAAAUAACAAUUAUUCAACUCCAUAAUAAAUCCUGACGAGAGGUGGAGUUGCAUCGUCCCGACGGUCAAAGCAGCAACUCUUGCAUUAUUGCCCACGCGGAAAUCAACUUCUCCUCUUUCCACGCUUCUACUUCUUAUCAUUCCCUGCAUCGAAUUGCAAAUAUGAGCAACCGAUCCGGUAUCAAAUACCCAAGAAUUAAUAACUGUAUCAGCGAGAAAUAUGUUGUCUAUAACAUUAACAACAAGCGUACCUGAGGUAGAAGUACUCUUACUUCCGCCGUUCUUCAAGGAAGCUAGGUACUGCUUGCAGUUUCUCUUCCAGUGACCAAGUUCAUGACAGUAAAAGCACUCUUUAUCUGGAGCAGGUCCAGGUCCAGCUUUAACCUUGGGCGGUGGGUUUGGCUUGGACGUUCCAGCCUUGCCCUUCUUCUUCCAAGAAUUGCCCUUCUUCUUAAAGCUGGGCUUGUUCUGUAUCGCCAUCACAUGGCUGGUACUAGCGCUUUUCUUAAUGUCAGCCUCUGCUGUCUUGAGCAUACCACACAGCUCAUUCAGACCCUUCUCCGUCCCAUGCAUAUGGUAGUUCGAGAUGAAGUUCCCAUAGCUAGGAGGAAGAGACGAAAGAAUGAAAUCAGUGGCCAACUCUUGGCCCAGUGGGAAGCCUAGCUUCUCCAACCGUUGAGUGUAACCAACCAUCUUGAUUACGUGUGGUCCUACUGCUGCGCCUUCUGCUAGCUUGCUCUCAACAAAGGCCUUAGACACAUUGAACCUUUCAGUCCUGGCCUGUGUUUGGAACAUGUCUCUAAGCGCCACGAUCAUAUCGUGCGCCUCAUGGUUUGUUUCGAACUGCAUCUGCAGCUCGGGUUCCAUGCAAGCAAGCAUAAGGCAGCUUACUUCAAGGUUAGCAUCACAUGCUUUCUUGUAAGCAUUCUUAGCAGCAGCGGGUGCAUCCUCAGCAGGUUCUUCUGGUAGUGGGUUGUCUAGAACAUCUUCCUUUUUCUCAGCCCUGAGAACAAUUCUCAGGUUGCGGAUCCAAUCCGAGUAGUUUGUUCCAUUCAACUUGUCCUUCUCAAGGACCGAACGCAAAGCAAACGAUGUGGUGGUGUUGCUAGGUGCCAUUUAAUCUACAACAAAAGUAAUGCAAAAUACACUAAGACAAACGUAUCCAUGAUAGAGCAAAUUACAUUAAACUAUUUUAACAGAAUCUACUCCCACUAAAAUCAAUAUCCCUCUAUUGAAACUUAGUGAUUCAGGAUCCACAACUAACAAGUCCACUAGUGAGCUUUAGCAUCACCGCUAGCAAACGAGGUAGAUCGGUAAGCAACUUUUGCUAAUCAUAUCACAUAUGACUCCUGUUGUUGGGUGACAUCUCUAUGUCUCGGCGCCCAACCUUUAUGCCCCAAGGUCCUUAACCGUUAAGAUGACCUCGUUAAGCAAACCAACCCUUAUGCGUGUGAGUGUCCGACACAAACGCGUCUAGUCAAGUAAAACUAGUGGCACCCUAAUUUCAUAGACCCACCACUAAUUGUACAAGACAUGGGACGGUGCAAGUUUUAGUUGGGAGGGCAUACUAACUUAAACUUUGUGAGGGAUCGUUCUACUUCUAACAUCACAGCAUGCAGAAAGUAAAACAUAAACAGAAUAGCAUUCACACAGUUGUGACACAGUAUGGCCCGUUUUUCUUAUGGUGAUCUCCAUCUCCAUAGAACCUGUUCACCAUGGUGAUCUCCAUCUCCAUGUUCCAUGUGCGCCAUCCUCCUGGUGAUGAGUCCUCCAAGAACUAGAGCAUGCUAUUACGCCCAAUAGCUAGUAAAGAAUCUAGUAAUGAAGAUUACAUAGUUGCUUGGAUCAUCACAGAUUGGUACGCAGACCAUUAAUUACAAUAAAGUGACAACACAUAUGGCUCCUGCCGUGUUGCCGUACGCGCGACACGCAGGUCACGAAUUAGUUGCACACAUGCAUCGCAUACACAAGGGGGCCAUACUGAUCACAAGUUACAUGCAUACAUCCUGCAAAAUAGAGUUAGGCGUCCUAACGUUCCAAACUUGGGAGGCCCGAAACUCCAUCUUCCAAGCCGAAUUUGGCAAAUCUAAUUUCGCAGAAAACGGUGAAGCGGUUGAAAUUCAUGUGUAACUUUUUCUGUAGAUCAAUUUUCGUAUAGAAAUCGCCCCGAUCCGAGAUCGUACCGAAAAGUUACGGCUGAUUUACCGAAGCAUGUGCAUACGGCAAAAUCCCGACCCCGGCAGUAGAUCACAUCUACUAUUGCACAUCUAAUGCACCUGGCGUAUGACCCUGGAUCUCGAUUUGACCAAUCAUAUUGAUCUUCCCUCACUGCAACUGGAUUUACGUGUAUCACUUAACUCCGAUGGCGGAAACCGACCGGUAGGAGUAUGUCGUUACACUACCAUUGCAGCAAGGGCACGAAAUCAGGACAUAGAUCAAACAGAGAACUCGCAUAUCUCCAUAUGCACACAUCCCGAAUCCAAAACUAAGCAGCUAAGGCUCUUGAUACCACUGUUGGGAUACGAGGUAGGCUACGCUAGCGCAAAUCAAAAUUUCUACCGCGUAUAACCAGGAACAACUGCCGUAUAAGGAUCACGGGAUUACCACUCGACGCACUACUGGUGCGGAAGAUGUAGAUAUGCGUCGGUGCAGUGAAGACGAUCACGUAGUCGUACGUAGUCGAUCAACGUAGUCGUACGUAGUCGAUCACGUCCAGCAGCUCCUCAGCAACUCGUCCACGUGCACAGCAAGAUCGCCUCCGGUACCGCGGCUCGUCGUCGGCUCGUCGUGGCUCGUCGGCGGCUCGUCGAUGGCUCGUCCAAGUGCUGCAGGCGCAACACCUCCAAGGUAUCCACACGUGCAGGGAGGAAGCGUCGCAAGCCGGAUUGCUAGAUCCGCGAGUUGCAACAGGCGAGGGCGUGGGAGGCGCGGCAAGUGUGUUCAGCCAAAAGGUGUAAACCCUAGGGCGCCCCCACCCCUCUAUUUAUAGAGGUUCCUGAUGGGCCUCUGGAUCCGAGGCCCAUUAGUACUCCUAAACCUAAUCCAACUCGGAUCAGAUCCGAAUUGGGCUUCCAGCCCCUUAAGUGUGUGACCCUAUGGGUUCGGAUACGUAUAGACAUGGCCCGAGUACUCCUACUCGGCCCAAUAGUCGGUAGCGGCCUCUAGCAAGACGUGCCAACUCCUAUACGCAUACGAAGAUCAUAUCAGACGAACCAUCACAACAUGAUAUACAUGUUAUUCCCUUUGCCUCACGAUAUUUGGUCUAGCUUCAAGCCGACCGCUCUUUCUCGAUCCUGUGAUCCGGAAUCCCUUUGUAGGUUAACUCUUAACCGUACGUAGCAUGGCCAUGCAUUUUCGGAUCCGAUCACUCGAGGGGCCCAGAGAUAUCACUCUCAAUCAGAGAGGGGCAAAUCCCAUCUUGAUUGACCAUGUCUCAUAGCAUGCUUCUUGACAAACCCGAAAGCUACCUUUAUAACUACCCUGUUACGGCGUAGCGUUUGAUAGCCCCUAAGUAGGUCAAUCCACAUCUAGAAUACAUGCGACAAUCUCAGGUCUAAGGACAAAGCGUAUAUGUUGUUUAAAGAGAGAACUACUUCUCGUGUUGGGUCAGUCCUAACACAUGUCUCCACAUGUGUCCACAUUAUUAGUUCAACAUCUCCAUGUCCAUGACUUGUGAAACAUAGUCAUCAACUAAUACAUGUGCUAGUCUAAUAUUCAUGUGUGUCCUCACAUGAACUCCGACUAGGUACAACUUUAGAAUAACCAUACAAGUAAAGAGUUUCACAUACAAUUCACAUAAUUGCAAAUCAAUUCAAGUAGCCUUUAAUGGAUAUUCAAUGAACACAAUAUACAAAUCAUGGAUACAAAUGGAAUAUCAUCAUCUCUAUGAUUGCCUCUAGGGCAUACCUCCAACAAAAAGGGUCCCGCCACCGACACCGCCCAGCUAGCCGUUGCUACCGGGACUAAAGGGGGGCCUUUAGUCCCGGUUGCAAUUACCAACCGGGAGUAAUGCUCCCCUCCAAUUUUCCCCACCCCGGCGCACCCCCUUUUGUCCCGGGCCAACUUUAAACCGGGACAAAAGGGGUCGGAUCGAAAGCCAAUUCUCUACUAGUGGCACCUGGCACGAGUUCGUGGCGCAGGCGAGGGACCUCCUCGGCGGCCGACUUUUCGAUGCCAAGUACAUGGCGGAGCACUGCGAGCGGGCGGACCUGUGCGGCGGCGGCGGUCUGAGGCGCGUGGCCGACAGCCUCAGCGCGCGGAGGAAUUUCCUGGAGCCGCCAGCGUGCCUUGCUGGCCGGUAGAGCUACAGCGCCUGCCGCGUCUACACGGCGAUGAGGAGGCGUGGCCUGUAUCGUGACGGUGGCGCUAGCCAUCAAGGCCUCAUCGAUGGCCUGAACCACUGAUGACACAGGAUUAUUUUUUUUAGAUUUACUCCGGAUGCAUGAUGAUGUUAGGCUGUUAGCUAUGCUCAUUUCUUAUUAGAUGCUAGCUGCCUUCAUGGUAUCACAAAGAUAAGAGCUGUUUAUGUUUUCCCUAGAGUGUACAGGUAGUACCGAUGAAGAAAUUACUACUAGUAAUACUAGUGUUCAUAGUGUUCAUAACACUACCGGAAACAGUAGAUUUGCCGAGUGAUAAGGGGUUUGCCGAGUGCAAUCCUUCGAGCACUCGACAAACAAUCUCUUUGCCAAGUGUUGCAAGAGAAACACUCGGCAAAAUAAUUGCACUCGACAAAAAAACUCUUUGCUGAGUGUAGAAAAAAAACACUCAGCAUACCAGAACAAAACACUCGGCAAAGAAUAGGCACUCAGCAAACGACCGUCACGUCGACAUCCGUUAGGGGGGGUGUGCCGGCCGUUAGCACUUUGCUGAGUGUAUUAGUUGAUGACUAUGUUUUACAAGUCAUGGAUAUGGAGAUAUCAAACUAAUAAUGUAGGCAUAUGUAGAGACAUGUGCUAGGACUAACCCAACACGAGAAAUAAUUCUCUCUUUUCACAACAUGUACGCUUUGUCAUUAGACCUGAGAUUGUCGCAUGUACUCAAGAUGUGGAUCGACUUACUUAGGGGCUAUCAAACGCUACACCGUAACAGGGUAGUUAAAAAGGUAGCUUUCGGGUUUGUCAGGAAGCAUGCUGUGAGGCAUGGUCGAUCAAGAUGGGAUUUGCCUCUCUCUGAUUGAGAGUGAUAUCUCUAGCCCCCUUGAGUGAUCGGAUCUGGAAAUGCAUGCCCAUGCUACGUACGGUUAAGAGUUAACCUACAAAGGGAUUCCGAAUCACAGGUUCAAGAAAGAGCGGUCGGCUUGAAGCUAGACCAAAUAUCGUGAGGCAAAGGGAAUAGCAUGUACGUGAUGUUGUGACGAUUCGUCUGAUAUGUCUUCGUGUGUAUAGGAGUUGGCACGUCUUGCUAGAGGCCGCUACCGACUAUUGGACCAAGUAGGAGUACUCGGGCCAUGUCUAUACGUAUCCGAACCCAUAGGAUCACACACUUAAGGGGCUGGAAGCCCAAUUCGGAUAUGAUCUGAGUUGGAUCAGGUUUAAAAGUACUAAUGGGCCUCGGACCCAGAGGCCCAUCAGGAACCUCUAUAAAUAGAGGGGUGGGAUGCCAUAGGGUUUUACACGUUUUGGCCGAAGCAUAGCCGCCGCGCCUCCCACGCCCUCGCCCUGUUGCAACUCGCGGACCUAGCAGUCCGGCUUGUGACGCUUCCUCCCUACACGUGUGGAUACCUUGGAGGUGUUGCACCUGCAGAACUUGGACGAGCUGCCAACGAGCCACGACGAGCCGCCGACGAGCCACGAUGAACCGACCACCAGCCGCGUGUCGGGGAUACAUCCCCAGUACCCGCAAGGAAGAAAAAAGUCAGACUCCUACUAGGAUUCUCCUGUAAUCCGACUAGGACUAGUCCCGUGUACUCCUACUAGGACUCCUCCUUGUAAUCUGACUAGUACUCUGCCCCCUAGAGUAUAUAAAGGAGGGCAGGGGUACCUAGCUCGGCAGGUCAUACCUUAACACCCAAGCCCAGGACACACGAGGACAACUCCAGUUCAUCAAAUACAAACCAACACACAGGACGUAGGGUAUUGCGCGAUCUAGCGGCCCGAACCUGUCUAAAUUGUGUUCCUUGCGUCACCAUUGAUUCCUUGAUUCUCGACGAUCCUUACCGCAUAAAAGACCACCUAGGGUACCCCCUAGGAGGAUUGCCGGUCUAAAACACCGACACCGCGGCACGAGGAGGACCUCGCUGUACGUGGACGAGCUGCUGAGGAGUUGCUCGAUAUCGACGUGAUCGACUAUGUGUUCGACUACGCUGAUCGACUUCGCUGCCUUGACGCGAUUCUACAUCUUCCGUACCAGUGCGUCGAGUGGUAAUCCCGUGAUCCAUAUACGGUAGUUUUUCUGGUUUACGUGGUAGAAAAUUUUAUUUUGCGCUAGCGUAGCCUACCUCGUAUACCAACAGUGGUAUCAGAGUCGUAGCUGUUUUGUUAUGGAUUCGGGAUGUGUGAAUAUGGAGAUAUGCGAGUUUUUAGAUUGAUAUAUGGUCUAUUUUUGUGUUCUUGCUGCAAUGGUCGUGUAACGACAUACUCCUACCAGUCAGAUUUUUGCCAUCGGAGUUAAGUGAUACACGCAAUGCCAGUUGCAGCAAGCGAAGAUCAAUGUGAUUGGUCGAAUCAAAAUCAAGGUUCAUAUGCUAGGCGCAUGAAUGUGCAAUAGUAGAUUGGAUCUACUACUGGGUCGGAAUUUUGCCGUAUGCGUGUGCUUUGGUAAAACAACCGUAACUUUUCGGUACGAUCUUGGAUCGAGGCGAAUUUUAUAUGAAAAUUAAUCUACAGAAAAAGUUACACAUAAAAUUCAACCGCUUCGUCAUUUUCGGUGAAAUUUAAUUUCCCAAAUUCGGCUUGGAAGAUGGAGUUACGGGCCUCUGAAGUUUGGAAUGUUAGAACACCUAACUCGGUUUUGCAGGUUGGAUGGAUCUUGUGAUUGUAUGGCCCCUUUGUGUAUGUGAUGCAUGUAUGUAACUCAUUCCUGACCUGCGUGUCGUGUGUACGGCAACACGGCUGGAGCCAUAUGUGUUGUCACUUUAAUGUAUUUAAUGGUCCGCGUACCAAUCUGUGAUGACCCAAGCAACUAUGUAAUCUUAAUUAAUAGCUAUUAGAUGCAAUAGCAUGUUCUAGUUCUUGGAGGACUCAUCACCAGGAGGAUGGUGCACAUGGAGCAUGGAGAUGGAGAUCACCAUGGUGAACAGGUUCUAUGGAGAUGGAGAUCACCAUAAGAAAAUGGGCCAUACUGUGUCACAACUGUGUGCAUGCUAUUCUUUAUGUUUUACUUCCUGCAUGAUGUGAUGUUAGAAGUAGAACGAUCCCUCGCAAAGUUUAAGUUUGUAUGUCCUCCAAACUAAAACUUGCACCGUCCCAUGUCUUGUACAACUGGUGGUGGGUCUAUGAAAUUAGGGUGCCACUAGUUUUCCUUGACUAGACGGGUUCGUGUCGAAUACUUACAUGCAUAAGGGUUGGUUUUCUUAACAAGGUUAUCUUAAUGGUUAAGGACCUUGGGGCAUAAAGGUUGGGCGCCAAGACAUGGAGAUGUCACCCAACAACAGGAGUCAUAUGUGAUAUGAUUAGCAAGAAGUUGCUUACCGAUCUACCUUGUUUUCUAGAGGUGAUGCUAAAUCUCACUAGUAGACUUGUUAGUUGUGGAUCCUGAAUCACUAAGUAUCAAUAGAGGGGUAUUGAUUUUAGUGGGAGUAGAUUUUGUUAAAUAAUUUAAUGUGAUUUGCUCUAUCAUGGAUACGUUUGUCUUAAUGUAUUUUGCAUUACUUUUGUUGUAGAUUAAAUGGCACCUAGCAAAACCACAUCAUUUGCUUUGCGUUCGAUCCUUGAGAAGGACAAAUUGAAUGGAACAAACUACUCAGAUUGGAUCCGUAACCUGAGAAUUGUUCUCAGGGCUGAGAAAAACGAAGAUGUUCUAGACACCCCAUUACCAGAAGAACCUGCUUAUGAUACACCUGCUGGUGUUAAGAAUGCUUACAAGAAAGCAUGUGAUGCUAACCUUGAAGUAAGCUACCUUAUGUUUGCUUGCAUGGAACCCGAGCUGCAGAUGCAGUUCGAAACAAACCAUGAGGCGCACGAUAUGAUCGUGGCGCUUAGAGACAUGUUCUAAACAUAGGCCAGGACGGAAAGGUUCAAUGUGUCUAAGGCCUUUGUGGAGAGCAAGCUAGCAGAAGGCGCAGCAGUAGGACCACACAUAAUUAAGAUGGUUGGUUACACUCAACGGUUGGAGAAGUUAUGCUUCCCACUGGACAAGAGUUGGCCACUGAUUUCAUUCUUUCGUCUCUUCCGACUAGCUAUGAGAACUUCAUCUCGAACUACCAUAUGCGUGAGACAGAGAAGGGUCUGAAUGAACUGUGUGGCAUGCUUAAAACAACAGAGGCUGACAUUAAGAAAAGCGCUAGUAGCAGCCAUGUGAUGGCUAUACAGAACAAGCCUAGCUUUAAGAAGAAGGGUAAUUCUUGGAAGAAGAAGGUCAAGGCUGCCAAGCCAAACCCAGCGCCCAAGGUUAAAGCUGGACUAGACCUGCUCCAGACAAACAAUGCUUUUAUUGUCAUGAACUUGGUCACUGGAAGAGAAAUUGCAAGCAGUACCUAGCUUCGUUGAAGAAUGGCGGAAGUAAGAGUACUUCCACCUCAGGUACGCUUGUUGUUAAUGUUAUAGACAACAUAUUUCUCAUUGAUACAAUUGUUAAUUCUUGGGUAUUUGAUACCAGAUCGGUUGCUCAUAUUUGCAAUUCGAUGCAGGGAAUGAUAAGAAGUAGAAGCGUUGAAAAGGGAGAAGUUGUCCCUAGUCGGAGUUGAUGUGUGGACACACAUGAAUAUUAGACUAGUACAUGUAUUAGUUGAUGACUAUGUUUCACAAGUUAUGGACAUGGAGAUGUCAAACUAAUAAUGUAGGCAUAUGUAGAGACACAUACUGGUAUAACCCUAGGAUCCUAUCACUACUAGAAAAAGUGGCUCUAGUACCGGUUCCUAACCCUCCUCUAGUACCGAUUGUGCAACUGGUACUGGCCAUCCGGUACUAGAGGGGGGGUGGUAUUAAAAAAGAAAAAAAAACAAAAUCCCUGCCAGCCCCGCCUCCUUCCCUCGCUGGUGGCCCCUGCCGCUCCUCCCCGCUGGUGGCUCCCGCCGCCCCUCCUCCUCUGCCCCUCCCCGCCGGUCCCCUCCACCCCUGUCUCCUCCUCCUCCUCCGCCCCCUUCACCCCCGCCACCCCUCCUUCUUCGCCCCCUCCACCCCCACCGCUCCUCCUCCGCCUUGUCCCACAGAUCCGGCGCCGCCACUCCUCUCGCUCCUCCUCCACCUCCUUCGCUGCUCCUCCCGCAGAUCUGGCACCGCUGCCUCCUAUUCGUGCUGUCGCCUCACCUCGCCCCACCACUGCUCCUCACCGCCGGUGAGGGGCGAGCGGAAGGGGAAGGGGAGGGGAUGGGAGGCAGAGAGGGUGGGAAGAUCGAGUGAGAGAGCUGAGGGAGAGGGAGAGAGGAAGGGGAGAGAGUGAGGGAGAGAGGAAGGGAGUGUCACGAAAGGGGCGACGGGCGGAUAAGGACGGGUGGAGCAGCACGGGGGGGGGGGGGGCGAAAAAAUCUAAGUGUGUGGUGGAGGCAGGGGGCGCGGGGGGAUGAGAGCUAUAGUAUCGAUGGGGGUUCCAUCGAGUACUAGAGGUCACCCUCUAGGUACCGGUUGGAGCCACCACUCGGUACUAGAGGGCCUCCGAGGGUUCCAAACUUGGAUCCGGUACUAAAGCUAAUAUUAGUACCGGGUCCAAAUGUGACUGGUACAAAUUCUAGGGACGAGAGGUCAUAUUUCUAGUAGUGUAUGGAUCAUGCAUCUAAGGUUUCAUUCAACUCCUAUAAACAUAAAUGCAUAGAUACAUAAAUAAAUAAGGACAUUGUAUAGUUUUAAAAGUAAGGGUUAUGCUCCAAGGCUUGUCUCCCAAGCGGUAGAGUUAGUGUCAACUAGGCCUUGGGCCCUUCCGAUCUUGGGCUGGGUCUUCAGGUUGUUGUUGUUGGUUCUUUUGUCCUUGCUCAGCUACGAUCCAAUACACCCCGUCCUUAGCUACGGAAUCUACAUGCAUGCCAUGAUGCACUGCAAGAGUGAAUUCAUUGUAAACAUGACAAUGCAACUUCAAGUUUUAUGCAACAACUCAAUCGUACAAGUUAACUUUGCAGCAACUCAAUCAUACAACAUUUAAAUAUCAAAAGAAGAGCAUUAAAGUUAUAACCUUAUCUACACAAAGAAACAUGGUUGGACUAGAGUUUUCAUGUGAGACAUACAAUUAUCAAAUUAAGCCAAUAACAUUUUCAGUAUUUUUAUUACAGCAUGGCUUGAAUACUAGGUCCUAAACAAGUCAUUAGCAUGUCAUGAUGGCAGCAAGACCUAGGUAAAACAUGAUUAUGAGUGAAACUAUAGUAAUAGCAUACUAGAGGCUAGCUAAAUGACAUAUACAAGCAACCAUACAUAUUUGCUAGCAAAGCAACCAUAGAGAUUCUGCUAGCAAAGCAAACUUUUCAGGGAUGAACAUGCUACUGAUAAAGAGCAUAAAAAUAAUUUAUUAGCCUAUAAUUCUAGCAACAAGUAUUUUUAAUAAUAUAAACUAGCAAGAAUAAUUAUUCAGGAAGCAUUCUUUGUUAUAUGAGCAUGAAUCAUUUACAAAACUUCACACCUCAUAUGUACAUGUUACUGUAAAAGUUUCAUCAUGAUUGGGCCAUCACAGGAUUUAUCAAAAAUCACCCAUUGCAAAACUACAGAUAUGAAGAAUAAAUUAUAACUAAAUCUCUAUCUGUGAUUUGGUGCUACAAACUUCGUAGAAUAGUUAUUCGGACUAUACUAUGUUACUGUGAAUUUAUCUUGAUUUUAUGAACACUAGAGCUAGUUAUUCCAAAUUAAGGAGAUUAAACAACAUGCAUUUUAAUCAGCAACAGAAACACAAAUUUCACAAGAGCAAGUAUUUUUACUACGUAUAACUAGGCAUCAAGAAACCAAAAAAAUUAUUUUGAAUUUUUAAUAUUUUUCUACGAUUUAAUAGGGAUUUCACAAGUUUCAACCUUUUUAUACAAAACUAAGAGACGAAAGAGGAAAAAUGUACUUUGCGUAUACGCCCUCAAAAACAACGUUUUCUAGCAUAUUUACCCCUUCUCUUACACUACAGCCCCCAGAUCUAGUGCUUAGGACCCUGGAAGAAAACCCACCUAACACUUAAACUCAGAGAAAUACCGGAUCACCCCCCUAAACUUUCUUUUCUCUCACAGCUCAGCCCUUCCUCCUCCCCUGCUCCUAGCGCACGCACGGCGAGCGGCGGCAGUGCGCCGGCGCGCCGGCGCUGGCAUGGCGGCUACUCCUCCCCCUCCCAAACCGACCUCUUGAGCUUGAACUCAUCCUAGCACAUCUGCUCCCCUUCUUUUCUCCCCAAAACCCUAGUCCUACUCUUGCCCGCGACUAGGGCCGGCGCACACAUGGUGGCGCCCUCAGGAACGCGCAUGGAAACUCGGUGGUUACGGAGAACUGUCGAGGGUUGAGGAUCAGGAGCUCACCGGAGUUCUAUUUGUAUGGUUGGUUGGGCAGGAGGAGGCCGGGAAGGUGGAGCUCGGCGGUGGGGUGGAGCUUGGGCGGGUGGCGGCAAUGGUGGGCGCGGGGCGCUUCAAUCACCGGCACCAGAGGCCAUGGUUCAGGGCAAUGAGAGGUGGAGGAGGUAACUGGGAAGGUGAGGCAGCUGUGGGUGGCAGUGAUUUGAAAAUGGCAGAGGGGAGUAGGUGGAUUUGGCCGGCAGACAGGAGUGUCUGCUCGGCUCGGUUUACUAGAUAGGAAGAAAAAGAGGAAGGUGAGGGAGGAGACCGGUGGUCAAGCCGUCAAGGGAGGAUAAGGCCGGGGCUUGGCGUCUGUCAAUGUCGAGCAGUGGCGCGAGGACGGCAUGAGCAGUGGCGGGAGGACGGUCGAGGACGAGCAAGCAGUGGCGAGCACAGGCGAGGCGGCACUGAUGCGAACGUCAGCGGCAUGGCGCAGUACGGCGAGGGAUGGCCGCGGCAUGGGCAUGGUACGAUGAGUCAUCCUGCGGUUUGACUGCGAGGGGGCCGUGCAGGCACGGUCGUCGGUGUGUGGGUGCAGCGCCUGCUGGUGGUGGACGGGUGAUGCGCGGCGUGCAUCGGGUGGCCAGUCCACAACGUCGAGCAAGAGCAGAGCAAAACAGCAGGCAAGUAGGUGACGGCGGCAUGCACUUCAGGGGUCAACCGUGCACAAAAGUCGUGCCCCAACUUGCUGAAUUUUGUCAAAAAUCAAACUACAACCCAUGCCAACCGUGAACCCUUAAUAAAGAUUGCAGCUGGUACAUCGGGCUACAGGUUCCAUAAAGAUUGUAAGCUCAAAGGAUAUUGAAAGAUAAAUAGCUCUUAAAUUUGGCAAACUUGAUAUAUACAGUGUUAGUUUUCAGACAUCGAAAUUUCAGCUUAAGUGCUAAAGCAUCAGUAUUAAUCUUAACUUAAAUUGUUUCGUAUCCAAAAUGUGAACUUGACUCUGUCCUAGGUUAUAAAGCAUGAUCAACACUAUGACUUUUUAUCAUUAAACUAAUAAUUCAUUUCAAAAACUAUUUCUAAAAGUUUCAAGAUCCAUAUUUUAUUAUCAUAAUCAUGGUCACAUGUGCUCACAAGCUAACAAAAUUAUUAGAUACAUUUAUUUAUUUAAUUUAAAUACUAAUGACCCUAAUUAACACAAGGGGUGUUACAGCUAGCCGCCCCUGGAAAUGAAGCUCAUUUCCAUGCAUUUCCAGGGGCGGGUGGUUGCUACAAUUUUAUUUUCGUCCGCCCCUGGAAAAAAAGGCACCCAGUAGGGUGACAUACCUAAACAUAAGGUAUUCCAUUAGGAAAAAAAUGUGAAUACAAGCAUGAAAUAGAGCAAAGUGAUGUUGUUAAGCCUAUAAGGAAUAGGUGCUCGUAUAGUGAUCUAGGUCUUUUACUGUGGUUUGGAAGUCAUAAAAUAAUUCAAGUUCUUUUUACUAUGACUUUGAUCACUUGAUUUGAAGGAUUUGUAUCUUGUGUUUGGAAUCUAUUCUUUGGGACAUUUAAAUGUUACAAGUCUAUGCCUUGGAAAAUAUAUUAAUUCGAAUGAUUAUGUUGCCACUCAAUCACUAAUGUCACAAACUGUGGCUUAUGAAGUCAUGAAAGCAUCAUUAUGGGAAGCUUGAAUUUGAAUUAUUAUGAGGCUGUCUACUUAAUACUCGAGUAUAGUAGGACCUUCCCGCACUCAAUUUUUUUUGACCAUUAGAUCGAAAACGGACGGCUGUGAUGGACCUGCUCACCCCUCAUUUCCUUCCCCACGCCUUCCCCAUGCGACACCCAAUCCAUCCGCGAGUCACGAGUGCUGCCGCAAUCACAAUACCUCACCCCCAGCCUCCAACCACCUCCACCACAGAUGCUAACAAAUUGAGUCUCAACGGCCCCGCCGCCUUCGAUAGCCCAACCGAGCGCCUUCACAGCCCAACCGGGGAUCUGCCACCGCCCCACCUCGCUGCCGUCUCAACCGCGACCACCGCCUGCUACCCGGCCGCCAUGAGGUUCCUCUAGGUCUGCGGAACACAGGUACUCGCAAACCCCCGAACUUCGAACCCUGAAAAGCUCACUGGAGGUCGUCGGAUUUGUAGAAGGGGAAAGCUGUGUGAGAGAAAAAUUCGAGUGUGGGAGAGAUGAAAAAUGCUCGGGUGUGAUAUAGGAGCAGGAACAAUAUUGACAAAAGGAACAUCAACAGCAAAGUACAGUAGAAAAUUGUGAGUCAGGAUUUCUUGAUACUAGCUGGAAGGACAAUUACGCGGGGCACCCUGCUAGUAGUUAAGAAUAAAUAGAAUGAAGGAUCUAUCAAUAGUUCAAUACUGAUGUUUGAGCAGCGAAGACGAAUCCUUCAAACCGGUUGAAGUGGACGUGUCCGAGGAGGAGGUGUGAGUCGUUGCCGUUGUCGACGACGACUGAGUCAAACUGGACGACAUCACCCCUGACGAGGAAGCAGCGCUGUACGAGAAGAGGCCCUCAGGCGGGAUCACCGGCGCCGCGUAAGUCGGCACGGGCAUCUUAGCCGGCAGAGCCGGCACCGGGCCGGUGGACUGGAGAGCGGCCAUGGCCGCUCUGAUGGACGGCCGUGCGCGCGGGUCCGGGUGCGCGCACCAGAGCCCCACGGACACGGCGCGCUCCACCUCCGCCGCGUCGUACUCGCCUUUGAGCCGCUCGUCGGCCACCGCGAGAGCGGAUCCCUGGCCGUACAGGUCCCAGACCCACUCGACCAGCCGGAAGACGGCGUUCUUCUGGCUGCCGCCCUGCAAGCUCAUGGGCCUCCUCCCGCAUGUGAUCUCCAGCACGACGACGCCGAAGCUGUAGACGUCGGACUCAGCGCUUGCCUUGCCGGUAAUCAAGCUCUCGGGGUCGACGUAUCCCGGCGUGCCGGAGACGGCGGUCAUCGUCUGCACCCCGACGGCGUGGUCGAUGAACCUCGCGAGCCCGAAGUCGCCGAGCUUGGCGUUGAAGGACACGUCCAGCAUGACGUUGCUCGGCUUGACGUCGCGGUGCACGACGCAUUGCUCCCACUCCUCGUGGAGGUAGAGCAGUGCGGACCCAAGCCCAAGAAUAAUAUUGAGCCUGAUGCAAUUGCAACGACAUUCACGCAUGAAUCUUGGUGAUCACUAAACUCUGAAUGGCUUAAAUUUAGAAUAAUGAUGAAGCAUUGAUGAUGAGGACAAUAGAUAACCUCAUUGGCCAUGUCAAGAAGGUGCCGUCGCCGUCGCCGUGAAGAUGGAUGUCGAGGCUGCGGUUAGGCACGAGCUCGUAGACGAGCAGGAGCUCGUCGCGGCCGUGGCACCAGCCGACGAGCUGGACGAGGUUCCGGUGGCGGAGCCGGCUUAUCACCUUGAUCUCCGACUUGUACUCCUUCCUCCCUUGCAUGGAAGAUCCUUUGGCGAACCUCUUUAUGGCCACGGCGCCGAGGCCGUGCUCUCUCAGGUGUCCCCGGUACACUGAGCCGAAGCCGCCUUGCCCGAGCUUCUCCUCCGGCGCGAAGCUCUUCGUCGCAGCAACGAGGUCGCGGUACGGGAAUCGCCUUGGCCCCGUCCCCAUUUCGAUCUCCAUGAUCGGCUCGGCCCCGUCGUCUUCGUCGUCCGAGCCGCCUACCUCCCCCAAUUCUUCUGCCAGCUCCCUCCUCUUGCUCCGCCGCCGCCGUGCGAGGAGAGCUGCCGUAGAUAAGAGGAGAACGAGGAACAGCGCUGCGCCGACGGUGGCUCCUGCUAUAAGUCCACCGCGUCCGGAACCAGCUGGCGUGUUCGGCGUCGGCGGAGGUGGUAGUGGCGGCGGCGGAGCUGGGAUAAGUGCGGCCUUGGGUUCCAACGACGAGCUGAAGUACCAAGAAUGCAGCUGAUGCAGCUCGAUGGAUGUGGACGUCGAGGCAGAGAAGCCGACGGAGAUGUUCUCCGGCAACGCGCUCUUGAGGUCAACCUUAUGGCUAAGGUGGUAAGAUUCGUUUCUUCUAUCGCCCAGCCGUAGCGUCAUCUCCAGGAUGCUCGAGAUGUUGUCGUACCUGAUCUCGGCGGUCAUGUUCCCGACGAGGCUGAAGUUCGGCAGGCUCCUCGUGGCCACUGACCUGAUGGAGUUGACGUCGAUGCCGACGUGAUCGUAGGUUCUGUCGGGGUCCAGCGCCGCGGUGUCGUUGAAGGUGUCGAACUCCACCGCCACGAACCGGGCGUCGCCGGUGGCCACCGCGUCCGGCUUCUGGUUGGUGAGGCUCAUGUCGUAGGGCUCGGAGCCGGGCGGCAGGCUGGACGGGUAGGCGGCGAGGAAGAAGGCCAUGCCGGUGCCCUUGUUGUUGAUGCCGAGCGGCGGCGGCGGGUCGAUGACGAAGGCGAAGCGCGUGGUGAAGCUGGCCACCUCGCCGGUCUCCCUGUCCCAGAGGGGCAUCGGCUGGGCGUACGACACACGGCCCCUGCUGUUGUCGAUGCCUUUGUUGAACGCCGACACGUCGAUCCACCCGCGGUUGAUGUAGGCUUCGCCUUCGACCUUGAAGUCCUUGGUGUCAUCUGAGCUGAAUGUGGAGUAGUUGAAGAACAAGCCGGCCACGGGAGCCGCGGGGAGGAAGCAGACGCAGAGGAAGAAGAUGAGGCCGACGGACGAUGUGAUCACCGAGAAGCCGGCCAUCGCCGCCAGCCAGAUCGAGAAGGUGCACUGACUGCGUAGCAGCUGAUGAUCGAUCGCCGAUCGGCUUGAUCCGGAACAGCCAAUCGCGUUCGAGUAGGGAGGAGUAGGCAGCCUGCCUCGAUCAAAGAAAAGUACACCUACCAGAACAAGUCCAGUCGUCGGUACACAAGGCCAAGUCCACGCGGAAGCCAUCAGGGAGUGCCCAAAAAAACAUUGCUAGUUUUCUUUCAUUAUUGCACGGACAUGGUGUGGCCCGCCCACUUGCACGUACUGUGAUCAUUAGUGUAUUCAGAGUAUAAACAUUUUUUUUGUUAGAAGAUUCAGAGUAUAAACAUGGGUUCAGUGUAUUUGCGCGUGUUCGAGAGUAGCUAAAGCUAGAUGUAAAACAAAACUCAAGUCGUAACAAAAAGGACUCCGACUAAAUAAAGGGGGCGCAGCCCCUGGAGUCCGGAGGGGUCACGCGCGCCCAACCCUAGGCGCCCCACCUGGGCUGCCCUGUUGGGCCAUCUUCUUAUUCCGAUGGGCCUUCGUUCCUUAACACCAUGAUGAAUUUUAAUUCUCUCGACCGGGCCCGAGUGAUUGGCCCAGCUGGAUGAUCAACUGUAGGCGCUUGAGAUUGAGGAGCAACUGGAGGCGCCUGAGGUGCUGCUGGUGUAGAUGUACUCGUGGUGUCCUCAUCAUCCUCCCUUUCUUGAACUAAAGUCGUCCUCGACGGCAACUCCUCAUCUUUGCCCACAUACGGUUUCAAAUCUGCAACAUUAAAACUCGAGGAAACACCAAACUCCGCAGGCAGGUCAAGGAUAUAAGCAUUAUCAUUAAUCUUGGUUAGCACUUUAAAAGGACCAGCAGCACGUGGCAUCAAUUUAGAACGACGUAAAGUAGGAAAACGAUCCUUUCUCAAAUGCAACCAAAUGCAGCCUGCCUCCAUCAAAGAAAAGCACACCUACUAGAACAAGUCCAGUCGUCGGUACACUAGGCCAAAUCCACGCGGAACCCAUCAGGGAGUGCCCAAAAAAGCAUUGCUAGUUUACAUCUUUCAUUAUUGCACGGACAUGGUGUGGCCCGCUCACUUGCACGCACUGUGAUCAUUAGUGUAUUCAGAGUAUAAACAUUUUUUUGUUAGAAGAUUCAGAGUAUAAACAUGGGUUCUACAGCAGAUUAGUACAUAGAUAAAGAAAGUUUUGUUAUAAUGUCCACUAUGCAAUGGGCAUAUAUAUGUGCACACCUCCUGUAUUAUGGACGUGUCAGUCCAUUAUGUAUAAACACGGCAUCGACUAUUACUCGUGAGGAUGCUUCGAUGGGCAGGGGAGGAGGCACCCAUGGUCUUGCAGAUCGAGAUCUCUAAGCCAAACCAUAUCAUUACGUGAACUUAACGUGGACCGUGGGGGAAGACCGGCUCCACGAUUUUUCAUUAAGAGGAAGUACAACUGAUUUCCGGCUGCGAAAAACCUCCCGAACUGUAGCUAUGAUAGCGAGGGGGAUUUUAUUUGUGCGACACGCCGGGUUUGAGUCUGGGUGGGUGGUGUCCACGAUGGGAGCGCCCACCACUGAGCAAUCGCUCAUGACGUAAACUGUAAUAUAGAUGCGUAUAGUUUCUUCUUUUUUAAAACCUCUAUAAUAGACGCUUUUGGAUGAGUUUACAUCAUGUUUAGUA